rnacentral:lncRNA from 1 species
ACACACCGAAGCUGCCGUGAAAGGUGGAUUGUUGAAUGAAUCCGUGGUAGACAAGGCCAUCUCUAAUAAUUUUGCCACGCUGAUGAGGCUCGGGUUCUUUGACGGUGAUCCGAGGAAGCAGUUGUAUGGAAAGCUCGGCCCGGACGACGUGUGCACACCGAGCAACCAGGAGCUGGCCCGCGAAGCUGCAAGGCAAGGGAUUGUGUUGCUUAAGAACACGGCAGGAUCAUUGCCCUUGUCCUCGACCGCCAUAAAGUCCUUGGCGGUGAUUGGACCAAACGCCAAUGUCACGAAGACCAUGAUCGGGAACUACGAAGGUGAUCGAAGAAUUUAAGCGAUAGACCGCGCAACGUUGGAUCAGCUUCAUUAUUUGUACCUGUCGCAGUAAAUACCUUAAUUACAAGUCCCAUUUUCCUUGCAGGCACUCCUUGCAAGUACGUGACGCCUUUGCAAGGCCUAGCAGCCAUCGUUUCGACAAUGUACGUGGCCGGCUGUGCGGAUGUAGGAUGCAGCACGGCCCAGACAGACGACGCGAAGAAAGCUGCGGCUUCGGCAGAUGCAACGGUGCUUGUGAUGGGCGCCGACCAGUCGAUUGAGAGGGAGGAUUUUGACCGGGUCAACCUCAACCUCCCAGGCCAGCAGUCGCUCUUGGUCUCAGAAGUGGCGAACGUGUCGAAGGGGCCUGUGGUCCUCGUGAUCAUGUCUGGGGGAGGGAUGGAUGUAUCCUUCGCCAAGGACAAUGCAAAGAUAACGAGCAUUUUGUGGGUUGGCUACCCCGGCGAAGCCGGCGGCGCUGCAAUGGCGGACGUGAUUUUUGGGGACCAUAAUCCUAGUAAGAUUCAGAGUCUUUCGCCACUUCAAAUUUUGCAAUCCUUGUUCUGAUUCACAGAGUCGCUAAACUUUAACUUGAAUCAGGUGGAAGAUUGCCGAUGACGUGGUAUCCGCAAUCAUACGUGGACGCCGUCCCAAUGACAAAUAUGAACAUGAGGCCCGACCCAGCCACGGGCUACCCCGGCAGGACAUACCGCUUCUACACCGGGCCGACUGUGUACUCAUUUGGGGAUGGGCUGAGCUACUCCAGCUUCAGCCACGGUCAAGUCCAAGCGCCACAGCUCGUGUCCGUGCCCUUAGAUGAGGGCCACAUUUGCCACUCGUCGGCAUGCGAAUCGUUGGAAGCCAAGAGCGAAACAUGCUCGAAUCUGGUCUUCGACGUGCAUCUGAACGUCAAGAACGUGGGAAGGUUCAGCGGCAGCCACACGGUGUUCUUGUUCAGCAGCCCUCCAUCGGUGCACAGGUCGCCCCAGAAGCACCUGCUGGGCUUUGAGAAGGUGUUCUUGGCCUCACAAAGUGAGGCGCAAGUGCAGUUCAAGGUCGACGUUUGCAAGGAUCUGAGCGUGGUCGACGAGCUCGGUGGCCGGAAGGUCGCCCUGGGGACGCAUGUCCUCCACGUCGGCGACCUGAAGCAUGCGUUGAGCGUGCAGAUUGGAUCGUCCGGGCUCUCCCUGAGCCCGCCGAGACAUUUCUGAAUAAAGAAAUCAAAGUGAUAAACGUUUGAGAGAUGUUCGCAAGAACUCCCUCUCAACCGAUCGUCAUGUAGCCAAACUGUUCAAAAGCAAAUUGAAGUUUCGACUACCAUGAAGCAACUCACCUUUGUUUUUUAUUUACAUCAUUGAAAAUAAGAAAACACAACAGGCCAAUUUUUAUUAGAGAAGCUGAUGGUAAAAUCAUGAUUGAUGCUUCCCCAUUAAAAUGCUAGAGAUUUAUCAAUACUUUUGUAAAAGUAUUAAUUUGUAUUUGGUUGUAUCAAAGUUACAAUCUAUUCCAAUUAUUUACCAUUAUUUAUUUGCGUGGCAUACAGCAUGAAUCGAUGAGCUAAAAUUACCUCGUAACUUAAUUGAAGAAAAAUAGGUAAUAUUGUUCAAAGUAAGGUGGUAAUGCCUAUAAGAACUAAUAAUUUUAACACGUUGAUAAGUUAUACAAAUAAAUAAUGAUAGAUUAUUACAUAAUUUGGUAAUUUGGAAUUGACCAAAUAAAUUUCGGUAGAUGACUCAAAUAAGAGUUGGUGAGCUCAAAUGAGUUAUAGUUUGCAAUUGAAGUAAAACUGAUAAAUCACUAUUCGUUUGUUUUGUGGAAAACGUAAUAUUUGAAUUUUCUUUUUCUAAAUGUGAUUGGUUAUAUCAAUUAGAACAAUUAAUCAACGGAAAAAGCUUUCAUUAUUGAUAAUAAUUUAUACUUAGUAGUUUCGUGGAUGAUAAAAUUAUUUUCAUUCAACCAUUGUUGUAAGUGGUACAAACAAUUAUAUUUAGAAAAAGUUUUUCCAAAUUACAGGUUUCUCACAAAACAAAAACAUCCUAAUAUGAAGUUAAUAACUGUAAAUUGUUUGUAAGCUACGCAAAUGUAUUUUGGAAGUUGCCACAAAUAAUCGUGAGUUUGAGGGGACUAAAUAAUGUUGGUAAUUGAGUCCAAAAAUGGUUAGAAAAGUAAAGAUAAUUUGGACCUAGGUAGGUCCCUAAAAAGCCUAUAGGGAAACAAGGGAAGGACUCCUAUAGGGUAAGAGUCCCCACGCUCCUAUUGCUAAAUGGUGGGGUAGGUCAGUUGAUAGCCGAUGGCCCCUAUUUUUGGGUGUCCCACAGUGCUAAACUCAAUGGAUGGAGGCAAUUCCCACACCUCAAUAAGUAUAGUGGCUAGGGACAUCUCUAUAAAAUUGAUCUUGAGUAGGUACUGCAAAGGUUCAAGGGAGAAGAAAUGUGAGAAAUAACCCUGGGGUGGGACUUUCCAAUGUCACCAUCUAUAUUCUCUUUCAAUUGGGAAGAAAAACUUGGCUGGGAGCAGAGGGGGUAGGAUGUGUGGGCACCAGUACAUUACAACAAGGAACGCAUCCAAGUUGAAUGCUGGGUUACUAAAUUACUAUUGGAGGCCUUUGUCGGGUUCUUCCAAACCUUGCUAACUUAAACUCAUGCUUCGCAUAGUGUCUUGAAAUUGACUUAUCAACCUAGUACCCCUUAGUUAUAAGACAUUGUGAGAAAAAAAGUAAAGAUUGUUGGUAACUCAAUUGGACAAGAUUUGCUAAGGGUACAUUUGGUAACUAUUUUGUUCUUGGGAACAAUUUUUGCUCAGAUUUCUUGAUUCUAUUUAUAGGAACAAUUUCUGAGCAUUUGAAAGCGCUUGGCAAGUUGUUUAAAAUUUAUAUUUCCGGAAUAGAAAUGCGUUUAAUAAAAUUCUUAAAAUUUCUAAUCUAAACCAUUUUCUUUUUAUCUUUUAAUAAUUUUAUUGAUUUUAUUAAUUUUUUCUCUUUUUUCUUUAUUUUUUCUUUCUCCCUUUUCACCUCCUCCUUUCUUUGGUCACUAGCCAUGAUUGGCGAUCGUCUAGAUAAGGGUUGGCGACCUCGCCAGAGCAUAGUUGGCUUUGGUGACUCGAGCUUUGCCGUGAGCUAAGCAAGGUUGACCUCACCCAGCCAAGGCGAGGCUUAGGCCGACGAGCAUCGCCAUGGGUUGGCGACACUCCAGCAAGUUUGCUGGCCCUUGUCUAGCCGAUCGCUGGCCAUGGUUGAGGGUAACGACCAACCAAAGGAAAAGGAAGAAGAAGAAGAAGAAGAAGAAGAAAAGGAAAGAUAAGAAGAGGAAAGAGAAGAAAAGAGGAGAAAAGGAAAAAAAUUAGGCAUGAUUUUAGGAAUGGUUAUCGGGAAAGAGAAGCAACUAUUUUCUACUUCUUAAUUCUAUUCUAAAUCUAUUCCUAAGAACAAAAAAAUAAAUUCUUAUUUUCAGAAAUAUAAAAUUUAUCAAACGGAUUUUUGUUCUUCUUUUAUCUCGAGGAACAAAAGAACAUAAUCAGUCACUAUUUUAAGCAUUACCAAACGCGCCCUAAAUCACUUAGCUAAUAAUUAGUAAUUUCAUAUAAACGUCAGUAACCUUAACAAUUGGUAACUUCACAGAUAGAUAGUGGUAAAUUGUUAUAUAAGUUAGUAACCAAAGUGAAAAGAAAAAAAGCAACAUCAAUAUGUAACUCAAAUAUAAUUCAAAGAGUUUACAUUAGUCGGUAAUUUAAUCAGAGAAGAGUUAGGUAAUUUUUUAAACUAACGUUCAAAAAUUUGAUAAUAAUUAAUUUAACACAAUAGAGAAAUUUGCAAAUAAAUAUUUGUAAAUUGAUCGAUUUUGAGAGGACAAGAAAAACGACGGUUUUAAUUACUCAAAUAAGAGUUAGUAAACUUAAAUUAGUUGAUAAUUUAAUCCGAAAAAAUUGAUAAAUUAUUCAAAUUAUGAUUGGCUUUUUUUUUUUUCAACAAAAUAUGGUAACUUCAAAAGGUUCAAACAAAUAAUGAUAAAUAAUUCAAAUAAAUUUUAAAAAUAAAAAGCAAUUGCCGACAAAAUUUAAGAAAAUUUAUAAAUCGCUUGAAUUAAAAUUUAUAAUUUCGUAUGAGAAGAUUUAGUAAAUUUAAGGCGUUAAAUAGUUACGGUAUGCAAGUAAAGGUAGAAUUCGUUGCAAUUUCACCUUUUGCAAGUCCUGUCCUAUCCUGGACUUCAAAGAAUUUGCCAGCCUCCUCCUCCGGUUUACUCUCUUCAUACUCUCCAAAUCCUCUCGUGAGCGAAAACCCAGAAACAGUCCAUACAACAUACGCAUCUGGGCAUACAUAUGCGGUGCAGAGCGAGUCGCAGCUUCUUUCUGGCAUUUCGUCGAACAGGUGGUGAGCGUGCCGCUGGGAUUUCGGCACCAAGACUCGAUCGACCGGAACGAUGCCUGAAGUCUUCUCCCGGGUGAAAUGUCGCGAAUCUUGUUUUGCUGUGGUUUGGCAUAACUUGAGGUGUUCCUUGCCCAUCUUCUUGCGAUAAAUUCUCAGGGGAACGCUGUUGAUUAGGAAACCGAGUCGUUCGAUCAAGAAAGAUCCUCUCUUGAACUGGCGGUCGCCUCUCGCUGAUGGGUACAUUAAAGGUAGGGCCACGAUCAGGCAUUGUGCAGUUAGCUUGACGGUGCUGGUACAAGCUAGAGAUCCUGCUAACUCAGCAGUGAAUUGGUGACCGCGGUUGAUGAGCGUAGACAUGACGAUGCUUAGAAGUUGUAUGAGCUACGUAUGCAAAUGGAUGGGUUUCCUAGAAAAUCUGUGGUACACAAGCUUAUAGUGAGUUUGACUAAGACUCUCGAUGUUCAGUGGCUCAACAAAGCGCACGGGUUGGUGGAACGCGCUUUCGAGGAGACUCAUUUAUCUCUCUUUCGGUCUCGCAAAGGGUGGGUUACCGGUUGCUGCAUAUACUGUUUUGAGGAAGUUGGUCGACAUGGUAGAGUACCCCGGUUGCGGCUUGGUCCGCAAUCUUGGCUUACACGUCUCAAUUGGUCAUCGGAAGGUCGCCUUUAGGACGCACGUUCUCCACGUCGGGGACUUGAAGCAUGCAUUAAGCGUGCGGAUUUGAUUGUCUGGGCUCUCCCUGAGCCCGCAGUGGAAUUUUUAACUAUACACCAAUCUUCGCCAAGACAUUUCUGAAUGAAGAAAUCAAAGUGAUAUAAGUUUGAGAGAUAUAAAUUAUGAAAAAUUUAUACAUUUGUAACAAAUUUAUCCUUAAUUAGUUUCCGUUAAAUACUACAGACCAGCUGUCCUUUUGGUUGGACUUGCUAAGCUCGAAGGUGUGAUUUGAGCGAUCUCGGACUAAGCAUGUUUCUUUCUUGGCCAGAGACCGUCCACUUGAGUCAAUCAUGUCACGAUCAAAGCUCGUUGUUAUCCUCUCAUCAUGAAUCGAGUCCUUACCCUCGUUCGUAUGAUCCCUAAUCAACUCUAGUCGGUAUUUAUCAUUAUCGAAAGCAUCUGCAUUUAAGCUUUCUGAAAUCGAUCUGGAUAGAGAAACUGCCUGAAUGAGAAAGACAUAAAUUAAAUUACAAUUUCCAUACGACAAUAAAGUUGCCCGACGAGCCACGAAUGGCCGAGACAGCAUCCCUGUCCUCUCACGCUUUUUUCCCGACUCGGUCGUAGUGGGGAAUCUCUUUUCCUCCCUGCUCGUGAGUGAAGGUUGGGAUCUUUUCCGAGAGGUCAUAUGUUUCCUUCCUCCCUUUUGCUUUUGCAAAAAGGAAAAUUGAUUUCUUCCGUCGAUAUGGAGCGAAGAUGACAUUUUUGUUCUUCUUUGAUUCCGCACCCGACUCAAUAACAAAAUUUACUUUUGUUUUUGUUGAUUUUUUGCAACAUUUUGUUGCGUGCAAUGAUUCCUCUUUUGAGCUGGAAAGCGUCUUGAAAUGGCAAUAGCUAAAAGGGGGCUAUUGAAAUUGUUGCGGAAAAAAUGCCCAAAGAUGCACCAAUCAAAGCACAAAUAAUAAAGGAUGAAAGCAAAAUUGAAAUUGCACGAAACAUAAGAUACGUGUGAAAAACUCAAAACAAGAAAAACUAUAGGGAGAGAGGGAUUUUGCUAUCUUUAAUAAUGAGCACGAGAGUAUAAUCCAAAAGCUCUAAAAACUAUUUGGUGAGCUACCAGAUCUAAAGAUCCAACGAGAAUAUAGAAAAAAAAAAACAAAUGAAGAGAAAUAAUAUGAAGGUUAGGAUUUGAGAUGUGUUAUUAGAUACAUUUUUUUUUAAUAGUCUCCAUUCUAAAAAUCCCUAAGACAAAUCUGCAUGGUCUAUAAUACCAUUAUCUCUAAUUCGAAAGUCAAAACUCAAUAAAUGUCCAUAUUGACUUUAAAUCUCCAAAAAUGUAUUAUGCCAAAUAUCACAAGACCUCUCUCUCUCUCACCAUUAAAAGUGACCACACAAGACUACCCCAAAAUAGCAUAAUCGACGAUGCAUACCCCUAAGCCUACGUGAGCCUACUUGGUGUAGGAAAGAAAGGAUGAAAUGCCACCAACUAGGCCUAAGCAAAUCAAAUGGUUAAAACACCAAUCAAAUCCAAGCAAUGCUUGAACUUGUUUAAAGGAACUAGCUUUGUCAAAAUAUAUGUCGGAUUAUCUAGUGUAGAUAAUUUUCUCAUUGUUAAGCAAUCUAAUAAUGCACAAAGCGAUACCGUAUGUCCAUAUAUUUUGUCCUCUUGUGAUGCAUCGCGUUCCUAGUCAAAACAAUUUGCAUUUUGGUUAUCGUAAUAGAUAACGGAGGCUUCCUCCUGCUUAAGUUCUAUAGUCAAAUGCUUCGACCAAAGAGCUUCCUUUAUAUCUUGUGCUGUUACCAUAUACCGCUUAUGCCGUUGCCAUAUACUCUGCUUUGAUAGUGGAUAAAGCAAUAGUGUCAUGUAAAAUUGCUCUCCAACUAACCACAAAAUCACCAAGCGUAAAAGUAUAACAUUUCAAAGAUCUCCUUUUGUCGAGAUCGCUCACAUAAUCAAAAUCAACGAAGUCAACAACCAAAUGUUUUAUAUCACAACCUCCAUCAAAGAUCAAACUCACAUUUGAGGUGCCUCGGAGAUAUCGAAGAAUCAAUUUCACAAGUUGCCAGUGAGCUUUACUUGGAUGUGCAAUAUACUUGCUCACAACACUAACAGCUUAGGACAUAUCUGAACGAGUGCAAACCAUAACAUACAUAAGGCUAUCAAAAAUACCAUAAUAUGGAGCUUGAGACAUCUCAUCUUCUUCUUCUUUAGUUGUAGGCAAUAAAGAAGCCGAAAGCCUAAAAUGGGAUGCUAAAGGAGUACUUACCAAUUUUGCUCAAGAUUUUCUCAGUAUACUUCUUCUACGAGAGGUAUAACUUUCAAUCUGUUUGUCUCUCCGAAUCUCCAUACCUAGAAUUUUCUUGGCAGCUCUAAGAUUUUUCAUAUCAAAUUCUUUGCUAAGUUGCCUCUUCAAAUUUUGUAUCUCUAAUAUGUUAUAUCCAUAUUUAAUAGAAAACAAAUGAAAGAAACAUCAUGCAAUUUCUUAUAGUACACACAACUGUCAUGUGUACUUCGUGAGUGGCCAUAACUCAAUAUAAAACUAUCAAACCUGUUGUUCUAGAUCAUAAAGGGCUAAGACAUAUAGAUUGUCUCUGCUUGCGAUGACUCAACAAUGCAUCUCUCGGAUUUAGACAUAUAAAUUGUCUCCUCAAGCUCGCCAUGUAGAAAAGUGAUCUUGACAUCAAGUUGCUAAAGUUCUAAAUCAUAAAGGGCUAUUAACGCGAGCAACACACGAAUGGAACUAUGUUUCACAACUGGAGAGAACACUUCAUUAAAGUAGAUUCUCUCUUGAGGUACGGACACUUGGAGUGCCAAAACUUAGCACAGAGGGACACUUAAGUGCCAAUACUUUGGAAAGUGACACUUAGGGCGCAUUUGGUAACGAUUCUGUUCCCGGGAACAGAUUCAGAUAAUUUUUUUUUUUAAAAUUCUAUUCCCAGGAAUAAUUUCUAAUCAUUUUAAGUUGUUUGGUAACUGUCCAAUUUUUCUGAUUCUAGAAUAGAAUUGUGUUUAAUACCGUGCUCAUUGAUUCUAUUCCAAAUCAAUUUCUUUUAAUUUUUAAAUAUUUUUUUUUACUUUUUACUUUUUUUUUUCCUUUUCUCCUAUUCUUCUUCUUCUUCUUCUUCUUCUUCUUCUUCUUCUUCUUCUUCUUCUUUUGGCCAGCAACCUCAAUGGAGUGUUGCCAGCCCUCGGCAAGGCCGGCCCUCAUUGGCUGGCGAGCUCGCCGGACCGGUUGCUGGCAAUUGACAGCAGCGGUGGCGGACGGCGGUGAACGGCGGCGGACGGUGGUGUAGGACGACAGUCGAUGAAGAUGAAGAAAAGAGAAGAAGAGUUCAUUUUGUGCCAAAAUUGGAGCAAAAUGGAUCACUUAAGUGCCACUCCAACCAAAAUCCGACCAAAAUGCCGAUGUGGCGAUUUUCCGGUGAAGGAAGUGCAAAAUGAUGUCGUUUUGGUGCUAACAUGGUAACAAAAUUAAUAUAAAAAUUAAUAAAAUUAAAUUUAAAACUAAAUUUAUUUAAACCAAAGGUGCAUAGUCUAAAAUACUCUUAUCUCAAAUUUGAAAGUCAAAACCCAAAUAUUGGAUAUGAUCCAAUUAAGGGCACUAACUGUAUCGUUUCUUAUAAACUAGAUCGGUAUAAUUGAUGGCAUUAAUACAGAACUAUUGUAUCCUUACUUCAUGAUAGGAUCGUUCCAACUCCAUUGUAUGUGAUUUUUCCCUUUUUUUUUCCGAAGCAUUAAAUCUUAUCAUGUAAUGCACAAUUGAUCAAGACAAUUGAGCAUGCAUGUCCAAGGUUUUACUUAUAAUACUUUGGGAUAAUGCCGAUAAAAUUCACAAACUAGUACCUUCAUGGUUUAUUUACCCAAACUAAUUUUUUUCUAACAGAAAAUCUCAACAUAUGUACCCCUUACUCAAAUCUAUCUUGCAUCGGCAUUCUACUUGAUAUUACGUCAAAAUAAAAGUGUCAACACACUUGAUUUCCACGUCAAAUCCGUUAUUCUCCACAUCCAAACCAUCUUGCAGUCAUUUGUUACGUGUGUUGAUGCAUACGCAUAUUAAUGAGUUAUUAAAUGGAAUAUUAACGAGUGGUAGAUUUGGGUUGAUUGGGAAUUUUUUGUAAGAAAACAAUUAAUUUAUGGUAAUGCGUCAUGAGUAACUAGUUUGAGAAUUUUAAUGAUAUGAACUCUAAUCCUCAAUAAGGACACCCGGAUCCCUAGAGUGUCAAAAGUUGGCACAAAUGGACACUUAAGUGCCAAAAUCAGAGCAAAAUGGAUUACUUAAAGCAUCAAUCUGACCAAAAUGCUAACGUGCGCAAUUUCCGGCAAAGUAAGUGCAAAAUGGCGUCAUUUUGCAUGUUGAUGUGGCUAAAUAAUGUCAAAACGACGUCAUUUUAGUGGUGACAUGGUAAAUAAUGAAUAUAAUAAUUAAUUAAAUUAAAUUAAAAAAUAAAUUUACUUAAAACAUUUUAAAUAAAAUAUAUUAAUAUUAAAAAAAUUAAAAAAGGGGAGGGAGGCGACUCAGGGUUGAAGCGGCUGAGGGCUAAGUCAUCUCUGUUGCCGCUAGGAAGGGCCGACAACGGAGGGGGAGGAGUUGGCCAGGGUCGCCAAGCUCUAGCGAAGGCCCGGGGACCCUGGUUGACCGGUGGCGAGGGCCCGUGACCCUUGCCAGAUUUGGGUGAGGGCUGCGACCCUUACCCCAAAUCAAGGACAAGGGCUCACAGCCCUCACCCAAAUCCAGCAAGGGCAUGCAGGCCCUUGCCGCAAGUUGGCUGGGGUCGCCAGCCCCUGGCCAGGGCUCAGUAGCCCCAAUCGACCCUCCCCCACCUUUCGGCGACGGCGAGGAGGCGGCGGCAGCAGUGAGGGCUGAGCCCUCAUCCGUCGGCUACCUUCCUCCUCCUCCUCCACCUUUUUUUUUCCUUUUUUUAAAUAAUAAUACUUAUUAUUAUUAUUAUUAUUAUUAUUAUUAUUAUUAUUAUUAUUAUUAUUAUUAUUAUUAUUAUUAUUAUUAUUAUUAUUAUUAUUAUUAUUAUUAUUAUUAUUAUUUUAACUUUAAUUUAUUUAAUUUUUAUAUUAAAAUACAAAUUAUAUCGAAACGACGUCAUUUUUGUGUGUGUUUUGCUAAGUCAGCUUGCCGGCGAGCCACAUAAGAGAGAAAAUUAAUAAAAAAAAAAAAUGGGGAUAAGUACACUAUCAGUGCCAUAAGUUGUGUACGGCACUCACUUUGGUGCCGAAAGUUUCUAUCGGAUCACUUAAGUGCCAAAAAGUUUGAAAAACACUCACUUUAGUGCCAACUCUGAUCUGGUUGGCCAGAAAUCUGACGUGACCUUUUUUAUUUAUUAAUUUCUUAUGCUAAUGUGGCUCGUCGGAGAGUCCAGUUAGCAUCUAAAGCAAGAAACGACGUUGUCUAGUUGCAUUUCCCCCCAAAUAAGAACCCUAAUUUGCCAAAAUGAAAGAGAUCCCAAAUUUCAAACCCUAAUUAUUGUCGACAAGCCCAGAACUCCCCGAACGUGCACCAGGUGGACGUCUCGACCUCCUCCUCCAUAAUCGAAGGAUGAGAUGAAGAUGCUGCCUCCGCCAACGGCUUUCCAAUGGACAGAUCCAGCGGCGAACACAGGGUUGAGGAGCCUAGGGGGGACGCUCACGAUGUCUCCCUAUGACCUCCAGCCCUGAUCGAGGACCUCUUCCCUUAUCGCACGAUCUUCUACCGAUAGGUCAGGCGGUUGACUCGAUUCUGAUUCUAUGCCCAACGCCACCACUUGUAUGAUGGCUCGACGCUCGACAGCAAGAAGAUGUCUCGGGUCAGAGGCUUGAGGAGAUAGGUCACGCCGCAGAAGUUCUGGAAGCAACACGAACCAUGACCCGAAGCUCCAACUCCGUGGAGCCACGACCUCCUAGCCGAGUUGGGGGAACGAGGCUCUGAGCUGUGGCUCGGGUCUGAGCUGGGGACUUCGGACACUGCUCACCGCACGUGCAUGGUGGCUGAGGGUGGAUCAUCAAUGAUGUGGGGCCAUCCUCUGUAGACAGACCUGAGCUUUGUGGAGGAGCUCUAGUAGAAGGGAGCAACAACGACCUUGUCCUCCUCCUCGGUGUUUCACGCCGAAAAGAAAAAAAAAGCAAGGAAGAACAAUAGGUGUGAACAUUGAAGAAUAAGAAGAAGAAGAUAGACUGAUUUUCUUUUUUCUUCGUUGGAUAGCAGCCAAGAAAGUCCACAUGAAUUGAUUUUCUAUAAAUAAAUAAAAAAAGGCCCAGUCAUAUUAAAUUUUUAAUUAAAAAAGCCAUGUCAUUUUUUGGCCCGAAAACUUUUGGCACCAAAAUGAGCGCUGUACACAACUUUUGGCUCUGAUAGUGUACUUCUCCCAAAAAAAAUUGACACUUGGGAUUCCGGUGAGGUUCGCCGAAUGUGACACUCAAGUGACUCAUUUUUCAUAAAAAAAAAAUGGCACCUUCGUAAGUUUUGGCACUUAAGUGUCCUUUUGUGCCAACUUUUGAAACUUGAAACGUUCUUUUGCCCCUCAAUAAGGGUGGAACUAAUUUGGAUUAGAUUCUAUAUGGCUAAUCUCCACGAAGUAGUUUCUCAAGCUGGUUCCAACAACUCCUCCCAAUUUUGAUCAUUGGUAAAAUGCUGCACUUUGGGUCCGCAUGGCUGAACGUUCUGGCAAUGCGACUUUGCCAUGAUCAUUAUUGAGUCCAAGGAACUUUGGACCUAUAGCAAAGUAUAUUGAUUAUCUUUGUUGCAAAGUAUUAAUGCUGUAAAUCAAAUCUAGGUUUAGUCACGCCUCAUACAUAUCGUUUCUAUUUCCUUGUAUGAUCCAUUAUUUCGAAUGAACACCAAAAGAAAAAAAGAGGUGAAGUGGAAAGAAAACUGAACUGGGUUGUGGCCCUUCCAUAUGACAUAUCGACAUUCAUUCAUGCAACAAUUGAUUUUGAAAUGCAAGAAUAUAUGAGCAACCCACUCGAUACGAAAUGAUUAGAUUGUCGAUUGGGUUAUUCAGUGCUCAUUGCCUUCAUUUAGGACUCUCUCAAGAUUACACGACGCAAGGGUCAUCACAAUCACCUUUGGAGUUCUUCGCGCUGCAUGGCAUGAUCGACUUAGCGAUCUAGCGUGCUUGCUUAUCUUUCACAGCAUCUUGAGUUCGAGUUUCGAUUGACUUAUAGUGUCAAGCCCAAUCUAUGCUUAGGUGCGUUUGGUAAUGCUUCUGUUCCCGGGAACAAUUUCUGAUCAGAAAUUAUUCUUUUUUUAUUUUGUUCCCAAGAACAAUUUCUAAGUAUUUUAAACCGUUUGGUAACUGUUCAAAAUUUCAAUUCCCGGAAUAGAAUUGUAUUUGGCACCGUUCUCAAAAUUUCUACUCAAAUCAUUUUCUUUUAACUUUUUAAUAAUGUUAUUACUUUUUUUUUAAAAAAAUUUUCUUCUUUUCUUUUUUCUUUCAAUUCUCCUCUUCUUCUUCAAGGGUUGCUGGUCACCGACCUUGGGAUGACCGGUGACCUACCAGACGAGGGCCGACGACCUCGCCAAAGUGUCGUCGACCCUCGCUGGGGCCGCGCCUCGUUGGCUGAGCUUCUUUAGUGGCCAAGAGAGGCCUAAGCGAGGCUCACCUGGCCAUUGGUGAGGCUCAACCGUGCCAAAUCUGGCGAGGCCAAGCCUUACUAGUGGCUAGGCGAGCUCGUUGGACUAGUCGUCAGCGACCAAUAGCGAUGGGCGGCGGCAGUUGAAGAAGAGAAGAGAGGGAAGAAGAAAAAGAAAGAAGAGAAAAGAGAAAAAAUGGGUUAGCUUGAUUUUGAAAUUAUUUCCAGGAACAAAUAAUCAACUUUUUUUUUUUUACUUUUCGAUUUUGUUACAAAUCUAUUUUCAGAAAAAAAAAUAUAAAUUUAUUCUCGGGAAUAAAAAUUUUACAAAACAAAUUUUUGUUCUACAUCUACUUCCAGAAAGCAAAAAAAAAAAAAAAAAUAGAAAUUGUUACCGUUUGGCAAAUUACCAAACAGAGCCUUAAAAGAUUCUCUAUAUCUUAAAAAUAAAUAAAUAAAUAAAUAAGGGAAAUGAAUUUCUGACGUCAACAUUGAGUGAAGAAGACUUUAGCUCUUAUUGACUUAACACCCAACUCAAGAAAGAAAUUCACUUUUUUUUUUUUUUGGCACCAUUUUCUUGGGUGCACUUUUGUCCCAUAUGAUUUUUUUUUUCUUUUCGGGUCUGUGCCUAUUUGAGUUCGAAGGCAUCUCGUAAUGGCGACAAACUAAAUACAAACAAGAUUUGUAUUGAAGAAAUAAUAGGGUCCACCAAAGGCAUCAACCAUUUCGUUUUCUAUAAGCUCGACUUCUGUCGCACUGAUUGUACGUAUGGGAUACUACGAAUUAACCUUUUCUUCAUUUUCGCAUGAUAGAAUCAUUCCGACUUCAUUGUCGGCUCAUGAUCUUUCCCGUUUCUUUUGGAGUAUAAUAUGCUGUGAUGUAAUGUACAACGUUAUCUCGAGAAUUGGGCAUGCAUAUCAAAAUGUUAUAUUUAUAAUCCUAAAGUCCCAAACUAGUACCCCAUGACAUAUUUACUCCCACACUAAUUUUUAUAUCAUAAAUAAUACCAAAUGGAUACCCCAACCCAAAUCCAUCCUCUAUCUUCAUUUCGUCCAGUAUUUCAUUAAAAUGUGUACGUGUUGACACGUGUGAAUUUUUCACGUCUAAUCUAUCAUUCUCGACGUUAGAUCCUUCGUGCAUACGUGUUGAGAAUGGUAGAUUAUGGGUCAUGGGUAUUAGUUUUGUUUUUUGUGAGAGAAAAAUUAAUGAGAUAUUGGAUGGAAUGUUGAGAAUGGUAGAUAUGGGUCAUGGGUAUUAGUUUUGCUUUUUGUGAGAGAAAAAUUAGUUUGGGGAUAAAUAUAUCAUGGGAUACCAAUUUAGGACAUUUAAUUUUAUUAACCCUAAUUCCUAAUAACAGUGGAACUAUUUUGGAUUAGAUUGGCUAUGGUUAAUCUUCAUGAAGUAGUUCCAAGAGCCAGUUCCAACAACUCCCAAUUUUGAUCAUCGAAAAAAGGGUUAAUACGAUAAAAAAAUCUCAAUAUGGUAGCUCGUCUGAAUUUACCCAAGUGAAUUCUUGUGUCACAAAAAUUUCAAAUGAUUACUCUCAUACCACCCUGACCUCAAAUUAAUUUUUGCAUCAUAAAAAAUUUCAAAUCAAUACAUCCAUGUCACAUUUAUUCUAAAUUAAUUUUAUGCCAUCAAAAAUCUCAGAUCACCAGAAUCAGAGAUAUUAGAGAUUUCCCAAUCGAAGACUUUGGUAAUUUGGGAUUUUUUUUUUGUGACAUGAAAUUUAGUGUAAGAUAAAUAUGGCAUGGAUGUAUUAAUAUGGGAUUUUUAUAACACAAAAAUUAAUUGGUGGCAAAUGUGGCAUGGAUGUAUCAAUUAGAAGCCUUGAUGAUGCAAAAAUUAAUUUCGGAUAAAUGUGACAUAAGUGCAUCGGAUCGGAAUUUUGAUGAUAAAAAAUUACUUUGGAAUAAAUGUGGCAUGAGCAUAUCAUUUUGAGAUUUUUGAUGGUAUCAACCAUUGAGAAAAUGUUACUUUAUCAACAUGUCAAGCCAGCGUGGCCUGAACCAUUCUAGCAAAGGGACUUUGCCACAAUCAUUAUUGCGUCCUAAGAACUUUGAACCUACAACAAGGUCUAUUGACUUUUCAAUAAUCUUUGUGACUUUAAAAUUUUCUUUUUGCAGAAGAAAAUUUGCUUUCAAAUAGGUGAAUAAUAUCAUGGAGGUGCGGGACCAAUAUAUGGAUAGAGCACAAGAGUAUUGAAUCCACGAAAACAUAUUUAUUAAACCCUUAGAUUUUGAUUGGGAGAAGAUAACUCCUAUAUCUAGAACUAGAUUUUUUUUUUUUUGGUCAAACUAGAACUAGAUUAAGAGAGUUCAAACUCUCAAAUCUAUAACUAGACUAGGACUGCUCCCAAUUUUGAUCAUUGGGAAAAUGAUAUCUCGACAUUUUGGGUCCACAUGACCGAACCGUCCUAGCGACUGGAAUUUGCUGUAAUCAUUAUUAAGUCUUAGGAACUUGAACCUAUAGCAAGGUAUAUUGAUUAUUUUUGUCACAAAGUAUCAAUAGGGUAAAUCAAAUCUCGGUUUAGUUGCGCCUCAUCCGUAUCGCUUCUGUUUUCCGGUAUGAUUUGAAGUUAAUGCUUAUAACUUGACAAUCUUAUACAUAGAAUUUUCGGAUUUGUUGUUAGCGAUGGCCACAUGCUUUUGUCCCAUUAUCUCGAAUGAGGACGAAAAGAGAAAAGAGAAAAGAAGAGAUAAGUGCAAAGGGGUUGUGUACCUUUUUCUAUCGACAUUUGCAAUUGCUGAUUUUAUAGUCAAGUAUUAUGAGCGACCCACCCGACGCGAAAUAAUCACAGCAUCGAUCGGAUUAUUCGGUGCUCAUUACCUUUGCUCGGGACCCAACUGAGAUUAUCUGAUGCAAGCUAGUUGUGGAAAAAUUAUCAAAAAAAUCUGAAACUCAUUAUGUGAAUGUCAAUUCAGUUUUAAAUUUUCAAGAUUGUUAAUUUAGUUAUAUACCUUUUGAUGAUUUGUCAAUAUAGACAUUUCGGCGAUUUUUGGCUAAAAAUUGCUAAUGUAGACAUUGGUCAUCCUACAUGACAUGACCUAUAUGGCAUGACCUACGCUGAUGUGAACAAUUUUUGUAUUUUUGAAAAAGAAGAAAAUUGCAAAAUAGAAAAAAAAUUUGCAAAAAUUAUCCACAUUAAUAGUAAUCGUGUUUUAUAGGAUGGUUAGCAUUAACAUCAAUAAUUGCUAGCCGAAAUUGGCGGGAAGGACUACUUUGGUAAAGCGUUAAAAAUUUAGGACUAAAUUUAUCAAAUUAAAAAGUUUAAGAUUAAAUUGACCCUUGCACAAUGAAUUAAUAAUUUUUUUUAAUAUAAUUAUCCACUACAGUCACCUUGGGAGUUCUUCGCAUCGCAUAGCAUAAUUGGCUUAGCAAUCUCGCGCUUGCUAAUCUUUAAGGCAUCUCGAUUUUGAGCUUUUGACGGACUUUUAGGGUUGAACCCAAUCGAUGCUUGCACGAUUUUCCAUUUUAUUAAAAAAAAGGACAAAUGAAUUUCUCACGUCAACAUUGAGUGAGGAAAACGCUUGUUCUUCUUAAUUUAACACUCAAGUCAAAAAAGAAGUUCACCUUUUCUUUUUGCACCAUUUUCUUGCGUGCAUUUUCCAUCCUCUUUGAGUUUCGAAGGCAUCGAAACGGGGACAAAGUAAAUAUAAACAAGAUGUGUGCUGAAGAAAUAAUAGGGUCCACGAAAGGCACCAACCAUUUCGUUUUCUACGACCUCGACUGAUGUCGAAUUGAUUGUAUGCAUGGAAUACUACAAACUUAACAUUUUCUUCAUUUCUGCGUGAUAGAAUCUUUCCCGUUAGAGAUAAUUGAGAUAACUCUUUAAGAUAUUUUCCUAUAUUAGAGAUAAUUAGAAUACAUCAGUUAGAUUUACGUAUCUUUUGACAUUGUGCAAUAUCUUAUACAUAUCUUUAUUGAUAUAUGGCAUAUUUGAUAAUCUUUCAUAAAAUCUAUAUAUAAGUUGAUGCACUUUAUUAUGAUAUAUUGAAAUAUAUAUAUACAUUUUUUCCAAUUUAUAUUUUCUGUAUUCUUACAUUUAACUUGGUACCAAUGCUAGACGAUCUUGAAGUGUGUUAGGUGCACUUGCAUCACACUCGGCGCACACCCAAGUGCAUUUUUUAGCUAAAAUUGUUUCCUGUCAUUUAUUUUUUAAUAAGUCGUAAUAUCCUCCGGUUAAAUUGUUUUCCCUCCCAUAUGAGGAAGUGCUUAGUCAAGUUCAUUCCAUGAUGGUCAUGUUUCAAUGCCAAUCACAAUAGUCACAUCACCCAGUCGAGCCUUUCACAGAGAUGGCUUUUCUUUCGAUACUAGCCGCAUAAGCCUUGCUACUUUAUAUUUUUACCUAGUCAAAAUGUCAAAUAUGUGGAUAGAAGAGCACAAGAGUAUCGAAUAUCAAAAAGCAUAUUUAUUAAGCUCCCAGAUUUUGUUAGGGAGAAGAUAGCUCCUAGAUCUAGAAUUAGAUUAAGAGAGUUCAAACUCUCAAAUCUAUAACUAGACUAGGACUGCUCCCAAUUUUGAUCAUUGGGAAAAUGAUAUCUCGGCAUUUUGGGUCCGCAUGACGGAACUGUCCUAGCGACUGGAAUUUGCUGUAAUCAUUAUUAAGUCUUAGGAACUUGAACCUAUAGCAAGGUAUAUUGAUUAUUUUUGUCACAAAGUAUCAAUAGGGUAAAUCAAAUCUCGGUUUAGUUGCGCCUCAUCCGUAUCGCUUCUGUUUUCUUGUAUGAUUUGAAGUUAAUGCUUAUAACUUGACAAUCUUAUACAUAGAAUUUUCGGAUUUGUUGUUAGCGAUGGCCACAUGCUUUUGUCCCAUUAUCUCGAAUGAAGACGAAAAGAGAAAAGAAGAGAUAAGUGCAAAGGGGUUGUGUACCUUUUUCUAUCGACAUCAGCUCAUGCAAUUGCUGAUUUUAUAGUCAAGUAUUAUGAGUGACCCACCCGACACGAAAUAAUCAGAACAUCGAUCAGAUUAUUCGGUGCUCAUUACCUUUGCUCGGGACCCAACUGAGAUUAUCUGAUGCAAGCUAGUUGUGGAAAAAUUAUCAAAAAAAAUCUGAAACUCAUUAUGUGAAUGUCAAUUUAGUUUCAAAUUUUCAAGAUCGUCAAAUUAGUCCUAUACCUUUUAACGAUUUGUCAAUAUAGUCUUUCUGGCCAUUUUUGGCUAAAAAUUGCUAGUGUUGACGUUGGUCAUCCUACAUGACAUGAUCUAUUUGGCAUGACCUACGCUGAUGUGGACAAUUUUCGCAUUUUUGAAAAAGAAGAAAAUUGCAAAAUAGAAAAAAAAUCAGAAAUUUUUUAAACAAUUUGCAAAAAUUAUCCACAUUAAUGGUAAUCGUGUUUUAUAGGAUCGUUGGCGUUAACAUCAAUGAUUGCUAGCUGAAAUUGGCGGGAAGGACUACUUUGGUAAAGCAUUAAAAAAAUUAGGACUAAAUUGAUCAAAUUAAAAAAUUUAAGAUUAAAUUGACCCUUGCACAAUCAAUUAAGAACUUUUUUUUUUAUAUAUAAUUAUCCGCUACAGUCACCUCGGGAGUUCUUCGCAUGCAUGGCAUAAUUGGCUUAGCAAUCUCGCGCUUGCUAAUAUUUAAGGCAUCUCGAUUUUGAGCUUUUGACGAACUUUUAGGGUUGAACCCAAUCGAUGCUUACAUGAUUCUCCAUUUUAUAAAAUAAAAUAAAAUAAGAAGGAAAAAUGAAUUUCUCAUGUCAACAUUGAGUGAGGAAAACGCUUGUUCUUCUUAAUUUAACUCUCAAGUCAAUAAAGAAGUUCACCUUUUCUUUUUGCACCAUUUUCUUGCGUGCAUUUUCCAUCCUAUUUGAGUUCGAAGGCAUCUCAAAACGGGGACAAAGUAAAUAUAAACAAGAUGUGUACUGAAGAAAUAAUAGGAUCCACGAAAGGCACCAACCAAUCCGUUUUCUAUGACCUCGACCGAUGUCGCAUUGAUUGUACGUAUGGAAAACUACAAACUUAACGUUUUCUUCAUUUUUGCAUGAUAGAACAUUUCCUAUUAGAGAUUAUUAGGAUAAUUCUGUAAAAUAUUUUUCCUAUUAUAGAGAUAAUUAGAAUACUUCUGUUAUUUUUUAUGUAUCUAUUAAGAUCGUGUAAUAUCUUAUGCAUAUCUUGAUUGAUAUAUGUAACGUUUUAUAGUCUCUCAUAAAAUCUAGAAAUAAGUUGAUGUACUUUAUCAUGAUAUGUUGAAAUAUAUAUACAUUUUGCCCAAUUUAAUUUUUUCUAUAUUCUUACAUUUUACUUGGUAUCAGUGCUAGUCGAUCUUGAAGUGCGUCAAGCGCACUCACAUCGCACCUGAUGCACGCCCAAAUGCAUAGGCUGCUAUCUCUCUCUCUCGAUGCAUAUUCAGACAGGCAAGUAGGCAGUAGCAUGAAAACAAGAAAGCAGAGCCCCCUUGUACUUUCUUUUGUUGAUUUUCAAAUCUCAUUUUGUCUUUUUCCAUGUGGGUCCCGCCACCUAUUUUUUACCUAGUCAAAAUGUCAAAUAUUUCAGCACCCCCUCCCCCCACCCCCACCCUUCCUUUCCUUUUCCUUCUCUCUCUACGUAUGCAGACAAGUCAGUAGUAGCAUCCAAACAAAGAAAGCGGGGCCCUUUCGUUUAUCGAGGAGAGAGAGAGAGAGAGAGAGAGAGAGAGAGAGAGAGAGAGGAACCCAAUCACGGCUCGUCUUGUGCCUCAUCCACUCAAUGGAUGCAGUAGAUUCUCCCUGAUGGCAAUCCUCUAUAGCCUGCGCCUCAUUCAUUGCAGCCUCGUUUUUCUUCCUCUACUUCCUCGUCCGAUAGCCCGUCAGCAUUCACGGGCUGCUACAAAACAAACGCCUUCCCCCUGUUCAACACCGCACGUAUCGCUCGUCUCUCCUCCAUGUCGCAAGACAUUGCAUUUGUUCAGAGAGUUGCUCUCCGGAGGUCGCGCACCCUCCCAAGAUGACCCCUGCCCGGAACAGAGCGCCGAAGGUGUCCUCUGUUUUGCUCUGCCUCUGCUGCAUUCACGCGUUCUUCUCAUGCGCCGUCCAGCUCGUCGCGGGCCAGACGCCCAAGCCGGUCUUCGCCUGCGACGUGGGCAGCGACCCGAGCCUUGCCGGCUUCGGGUUCUGCAACACGUCGUUGGGAGUUGAGGCGCGGGUGGCGGACCUGGUGCAGCGGCUCACCCUGCAGGAGAAGGUCGGGUUCCUUGUGAACAACGCCGGCAAUGUGGACCGCCUGGGGAUCCCCAACUACAAGUGGUGGUCGGAGGCGCUGCACGGGGUGUCGUAUGUGGGGGGCGGGACCAGUUUCUCGAGCCUCGUCCCGGGGGCGACCAGCUUCCCUCAGGUCAUCCUGACGGCAGCGUCGUUCAAUGCCACCCUGUUCGAGACCAUCGGGAAGGUUAGCGAGUUCACAUCAUAUCACUCUCUCAUUCUUCCUCUUUCUUGCGCUUCUCUGUUUUUGACUUUCGCGUGCGGAUUUAGAUAUCGUAUUGGCGUCCGCACGUCGUAGUCGUCCGCAUCAUGCACGAUGAUAUGAUAGAAAAAAGCUCGAAACUUUUAUCCAUCGUGAUAAGAAAGUUCAUGUUGCGAAGCAACUACGGCCAUCAGAACGGCUGGCGGGGACCACCGGCCACCGUCACUCGAAUCGGUAGAUGCAGUGCGUAAGUGAAUUUAGUUAGUUUACACCGUGACAUAUGAAUUUUCAUGUAAAAGUAGAUAUUUCCGUCUUGACAAGAUUCUGUGAAAUCUUUUCAUGUCAUUCCUUCGAUAUAAUUUCCUGCGUCGACGGCUACUGUUCCCGAUAUCCAGUAUAUUCGCGUUGACAGUCGCUACCGACGUCCUAGCUUGUACUGUUGCAUCUUGAGUGCCAUUCUAUAUCUGAACUCUCUCGAUGCGGCAUUAAAUAAGCCCCGAUAUACGCGUAGGUCCGUUUCUUCAUCCACUAUUUGAUUUGAAUCCAAACCCACAAACUACAAGAUCGAGAAGUACAAAUGCACAUUGCUGCAGAUGAUCUCCCGGCUCUUUGCUGUGAGAUUCUUGAUGCUAGGGAAAAUGAAAACUUGCUUUUUUUGAGGUGAAACUGCAAAUGAUGAAAUGGUCAUAAAAAGUACUAUGAAAUUGGGAGGAGGAGAAGCGUUAGGUGCUGUAGGGGAAGAAGAUCUUUUGGUUGGAUCCUCAACCACGCUGGCAUCAGUUGGUGCCACCUUUUUAGCUGUACACCAUAGGAACUGCAGUAAGUGCAACCCCCCUAAAAGAAAAAAAAAUAGAGAGAGCUGACCGACCCAGACUUUAAAGGCACCAGGCUAAAGUCUAUCCACGCUUGGCUUGUUCCCACAGCCAAGUUUGACGAAAACAUCAUCAAACCUUCCACUGGGUUGUCUGUACUAUUGUGGAAAACAUGUGAUGCGGACACAAGAAUAGUAGGCUUUAAUCUGUGUAAGGUUGCUGCAUGAGGAAAUCUUGCAUACAUCGAAAAGAAAAGGACAGUAGAGAAGGGUCUUUGCUUCUACGAGUAUCACCAUCAUUUAAAUCUGUUUGGUUGGUGUUUGUCAGUAUGAGAUGAUAAUUACUGGAGCUGGCAAAAGGGUGGUGUCAUGAGCAUUGCCACGUCAUUGCACAAAGUGAGUUCCUUCCUCUGCACUCAAUGAGGGGGACCAAAAGUGCUGGAAACAGAAAGCUUUUUAUAAGGGAGAAGUGCUUAGAUGACUCGGCCGGAGGUUCGAAUAUAUCGGGAAUAAAGGAUAGAUGGGACUGGUGACUGAAAAAAUACAUGAAAAUCAUGAGUUGAGCCAACUUAAGUUUUGGCGAAUAGGGCAAAAAGAAGCGCAUCUGAAUCUUCUCCUAGUGAUCAUCGGAAUUUACAUGAUCUGCUUCUUGACUUCUACUUCUGCAUACCCAAGUUUAAGACUAUUUCAUUCCAAUGCCCCUAAAAUUCAUACUAUCUUGCUGAUUGUCCCUGCGUUUGUAGUCCGAAAAUGAAUUAGUUUCUCAUUCCGACUAGGUCAAAAACAUUCUAAAGCUCUGCGCAAUAAUAUGGAGAAGAGUAGACGAAUUAUGCAAUAGCUUUGCUGAAGCAGGUGGUUUCGACAGAAGCCCGGGCGAUGCACAAUGUGGGGUUAGCCGGAUUAACGUUUUGGUCCCCGAAUGUCAACAUAUUCAGAGACCCAAGAUGGGGGCGGGGCCAGGAGACGCGGGGGGAAGACCCAUUACUCUCGAGCAAGUAUGCGUCGGGUUAUGUCCGAGGCCUACAACAGAGCGAUGACGGAAACGCGGACCGGCUUAAGGUCGCUGCGUGUUGCAAACAUUAUACUGCGUAUGACAUCGAUAACUGGAAAGGUGUCGAUCGAUUCCACUUCAACGCUGUGGUAAAUAACAAUUUGCAGACUUCUCUUUCGUUUUUAUUCGAUUUGAUUUAUUGAGCAGUUAUAUGCAUGACCAUCUCAAGUUAAUCUCCUGUGUCGCUUGUGUUGGACUGAUCAGGUAACCCAACAAGAUUUAGAUGAUACGUUUCAACCGCCGUUCAAGAGCUGUGUCCUUGAUGGCAAUGUCGCAAGCGUGAUGUGCUCCUAUAACCAGGUUAAUGGUAAGCCAACAUGCGCAGACCCGGACCUUCUCGCCGGGAUUGUCCGAGGAAAAUGGAAGUUGAAUGGGUAACACUCCAUUGCUCGUGCAUUGCUAUUAGAUACUUUUGAUCAAUUAUUGCGUUGUUAUUUAUGCCAAAGGAUCGGUUAAUGUAGAUACAUUGUUUCGGAUUGUGAUUCGGUGAAAGUGUUCUAUAAUACCCAGCACUAUACUAAAACACCAGAAGAGGCUGCAGCUAAGGCCAUUUUGGCAGGUAGAUGCAAAUUUCAUACUGUACUUUGAUCGAUUGCGACAAAGGCGUUUGAGAAUUCGCCAUGAAAUGCUUCUUCUUUGAUGACUGUAAUUCCCAUUUUCGACAGGGUUGGAUCUCAACUGCGGAUCUUUCCUUGGCCAACACACUGAAGCCGCCGUGAAAGGCGGAUUGUUGAAUGAAUCUGCGAUUGACAAGGCCAUCUCUAAUAAUUUUGCCACGCUGAUGAGGCUGGGCUUCUUUGACGGCGAUCCAAGGAAGCAGUUGUAUGGAAAGCUCGGCCCGGAUGAUGUGUGCACACCGAGCAACCAGGAGCUGGCCCGCGAAGCUGCAAGGCAAGGGAUUGUGUUGCUUAAGAACACGGUAGGAUCAUUGCCCUUGUCCUCGACCGCCAUAAAGUCCUUGGCAGUGAUCGGACCAAAUGCCAAUGUCAUGAAGACCAUGAUCGGGAACUAUGAAGGUGAUUGAAGAAUUUAUGCGAUAGACCGCACAACUUUGUAUCGGCUUCAUUAUUAGUACCCGUCACGGAAAAUACCUUAAUUAGAACUCCUAUUUUCCUUGCAGGCACUCCUUGCAAAUAUGUGACGCCUUUGCAAGGCCUAGCAGCCGUCGUUUCGACAACGUACGUGGCUGGCUGUGCAGACGUAGGAUGUGGCACGGCCCAGACAGACGAUGCGAAGAAGGCUGCAGCUUCAGCAGAUGCGACAGUGCUUGUAAUGGGUGCCGACCAGUCGAUCGAGAAGGAGAGUUUGGACCGGGUCGACCUCCACCUCCCAGGCCAGCAGUCGCUCUUGGUCUCGGAAGUGGCGAAUGUGUCCAAGGGGCCUGUGAUCCUUGUGAUCAUGUCGGGGGGAGGGAUGGAUGUGUCAUUUGCAAAGGAUAAUGACAAGAUCACAAGCAUUUUGUGGGUCGGCUAUCCCGGAGAAGCUGGUGGCGCUGCAAUGGCGGACGUGAUUUUCGGUGACCAUAAUCCUAGUAAGAUUCAGUCUUUGGCCACUUCAAAUUUUUGUAAUCCCUGAUUCAAAUUCUGAUUCACUGAGUCGCCAAACUUUAACUUGAAUCAGGUGGAAGACUGCCAAUGACAUGGUAUCCGCAGUCGUAUGCAGAUGCUGUCCCGAUGACAAACAUGAACAUGAGGCCCGACCCGGCAACAGGCUACCCCGGCAGGACGUACCGCUUCUACACUGGCCCUACCGUGUACUCGUUUGGGGACGGGCUGAGCUACUCCAACUUCAGCCACAGUCUAGUCCAAGCGCCACAGCUCGUGUCUGUGCCCUUAGAGGAGGGUCACGUUUGCCGCUCGUCGGCAUGCAAAUCAUUGGAAGCCACCGGCGAGAUGUGCUCGAAUCUGGCCUUAGACGUGCAUCUGAACGUCAAGAACGUGGGAAGGUUCAGCGGGAGCCACACGGUGUUCUUGUUCAGCAGUCCUCCAUCGGUGCACAGGGCGCCUCAGAAGCACCUGCUGGGCUUUGAGAAGGUGUUCUUGGCCUCGCAGAGUGAGGCGCAAGUGCAGUUCAAGGUCGACGUUUGCAAGGACCUCAGCGUGGUCGACGAGCUCGGCCACUGGAAGGUUGCCCUGGGGACGCAUGUCCUCCACGUCGGCGACUUGAAGCAUGCAUUGAGUGUGCAGAUUGGACCGUCCGGGCUCUCCCUGAGCCCGCCGAGACGUUUCUGAAUGAAGAAAUUAAAGUGACAAAAGUUUUGAGAGAUGUUCGCUAGAACUCCCUCUCAACCGAUCCUCAUGUAGCCAAAUUGUUCAAAAGCAAAUUGAAGUUUUGACUACUAUAGCUCUGUUUGUUUGCACUUCUUUUUUUUUUUGUUUUUAAACACUUUUUCUGUUUUUUUUUCCUGGGAACAAAAAAGGAACAGAAACGCGUUUGGGUGCGUUUCUGUUCAUUUUUUGUUCUUUUGUUCCCAGGAACAAAAAAGAAACAGAAAUGAGAAACACAAAAUUUGUGUUUCUUAUUUCUUAAACACAUUUGAGGAGCUAAAAAAGAACAAAAUCGUGUUCCUUUUCUAUUUCUUGCUCCCUUCGAACACUGCCUCUUCUCCUGCGAGCCUCGUCUCCAAACAGGCUUCGGUCGCCCGGCGCCGAUCGUCCGGCUUCGGAAGCCGUUCUCCCGCCUCGGCUCGGCUUUGUUGACUCACCGCUCCUAGUCGUCGUCGUCGUCGUCGCCGUCACCGUCGUCGUCGUCGUCGCCGUCACCGUCGUCGCUUCAAGGAGAACGAAGCACCCCACCUUCGACGCUCGAGAUUCGCCAUCAAAGCCUUCUCAGAAAUCCUCAAGCUCCUCUCGCUAGCUCGGCCAUGUUCGGUGCUCGCGACGCCUUCGCCGCGUGAUCUUCAGCUGCUACGGCGGUUUCCCCCGCCGGCUCCGGAGAGACGAUGGUGAGCAAGUUCCUCUGCGACUUCCGGUGGUUCCUCCUCCUCGCCGCGGCGGUGGCGUUGAUCCACAUCCAGGUGAUUCCUUGGUCCCGAUUCUCACGCGAUCUGGAAUUUUUGCGGUUUUGUGUGACCGAUCCACGUGCAUAUGUGCUCGCGGCUGCUUUUGUGUGGUUUUGUAGGUUUUUGUUGUUCGCUUCUUUCUUAAACGCCAUUUCGCGUGUAAAACAGAAGACUGAUGCGAAUAAAUGGAACAAAAGUUGUUUCGUCUGCUGAAUUUUCAGUUUGCUAAUGCUGAUGGACUGAAAAUGCGGGCGAAUUCAAUUGCACCUUUAUCUUAGCUUAUGUAUUUUGACCAGAGAUUCUGUUCCUUUUGCGCGUGCUUGCAUCAGUCGCUGAACUAAAGCAAUUUACAAAAUCAUGCGAGAUAGAAGGACUAAGGCUUCUUUCCUAACAUGUGAAAGAAGUGUUCGAUGUAGAACAAAUGAGAAGGGGUUGAUAGCACUAGAUUGUCUACUCCUAGUAAAGAUGUAGAAAAUUAUAGUGUUUGUGGGCCGUCUAUUAAUUGCAGAAAGUCUCGUAACUAUAGAAUAGCGUGAUUUUAGAUGUUCGUUGCCUUCUGUGCUCUGUUGUGGGGUUACUUUGUAGGAAUUUUGCUUUGAUGACCAUGGACAUGUGGUACUUUAGGAAUUUCAGCAGGAAAAUUAAGAGAUGCUUUGAUUCAAGAGGCAAAAUAUGGGUCCAUUAACUCAGGUAUUUGAUGCUGUAGCUGUAGUAUUUUUGGUGAAACUCGUUUUUCUUUCCUCUGCUGGUCUGGUUUCUAGUAAAGGACAGGACAUCUUAUGAUUGAGUACAGAAUUGUAUGGCCUUGUGCCCCAUUCAUAAAUUUUAACUCAUCAAGUUACCAUCAAGAAUUAUAGUAAUCCAAUCCUAAAACAUACUAAUUUUCUAUAACCACACUUAAACUAUCUUUUUUUGUCAGAUUCACCUUCAAUUGCUGCCUUUUUAGCCCUUUAGCUCUCCAAUUUCAUGUAUAAACUGUUGUUCGAUGGUUAGGGAGAUGCUUAUCUUUUGAUUAUCACAAACAGAUAUCCAAAACGGUUCUUGGCUAGGAAAAAGGAUUUGUGCUAAACUUUUCUUUUCUCCAGUUUCAGUUAAAUCUUUCAGUUCAGUUUCUUCCCCAACAUUAUCAUCUUUUUUUGGCUUUAAAGAGAUGCUCCAGCAUCAAGCAAUGUACAUAUGUAUGUAGCAGUCAUGUUGGCUUCCGUGAUAAAUUCUUCUUGCGUUGGUAUGUUUAUCCAAUGGUUUUCCUUACUUCAUUUGUUUAUCCACCAAAAUUAUAUGUUUCCUCGUUUGACUUUUAUCUUUCUGUUUUUGUUUUUUUCCCUCUCUCCCGCAGAUGUGUCUUUUCACGACACAAUUGGAACAUGCUGAUCAACUUGCUGCUGCUGGAAGUCUCCAUCCUAUUACCUCAUCCUGGUAUCUACUUCUGGAUCGAUGGCCAUUUGAACCUCUAGCUUUGUUCCAAGAGAUACACAUUCAGUUAUUAAGAUAUGUACUCGGUAAAUUUGUUAUUAUCAUGUACAGCCAGCAUCUAGACUUUUAAGUUAUGUAAUUAUAAGCUUAGGUGAAUUUAGAUCUGCAACUCACUCUGCCUAGUGAAUUUGAAAAAGAAAUUUGAGUGUGUGGUGGAACCCUUUCCUUGUUGUGUGGGAGGAACCUUUCUGAAUUUGUCAUAUUGAGCAAAAUUUUUGAAAACGCUGAGUGCUGAAUCUCUCUUUCAUCCAACGUUUAGUAAAUUUACUGUCUUGCUUGAAAUAUCAAUUGGGAAGAGUCAAUCCGUUCAAGUGAGAAUAUUAUACCCCAUCAAAUGAUGGUAGUAAUUCUCAUAUAUUGUGUUUUUAUGGUUAGUCAAGAAGUACUAAUGGUGGAUCCAUUACAUUAUUUGGUUAGUUUUGUCUUCGGAUGGUUUUAUUGUGCUGCUGUCCUUCAGGAGGAGUAGCUUCUGAGAGGAUUCACACUUAAAUGAUGCUAGUAAUUCCCAUGUAUUGUGUUUAAUGAUUGAUCCAAGAAGUUUUAAUGGGGGACCUGUUUAGACAGAGGGAUGCUAUAGUUCAUUUUAUUUCAAGUUUGAAGCUUCUUUUAUUCAUCUUCACAGCCUUAUCAACCUUUUCUUGUCGAAGAUAUGUGUUUCCUUCUCCAUCUCUCUUUUCUUGUAAUCUUUAAAUACAUUUUGCGGAAAUCCUUUAUCGAUCUGAUUUCUUUCCUGGACUGGGAUGGCUGUUGACCAGAUCUACAUGGAAGGAAUUAUCCCCAAAGUGGCCUAAGGCAUAUCCUUAUUGGUUUGAUAUAUUGGUUUUAGAUCACGUAUGUUUAUAGCUCAUGUGUCUCCCGAAAUUUUCUUUGACAACACUAACUUUCUAGGAUGACUGGUUGAGGCUACAAGAGAACCACCAAGGUUGACAAUUUACUCUGAUGUGUGGUCACUUCAGUCUUGUGUAGUUACUUUGCAAGUUUUGCAUGUAUAAUAUAGUAUGUAAAUUUAUAACUGAUUAUUCAUGGCCAUGCUCAUGGUAGAGGGCUUAUAACGGCUCCCUUACGCAUUGUCCUUGCUUGUAUUAAUGAUUCUAGAGUUGGAAACUCUCUUUCUCUCUUACUCGCACAAAAGAUAUGAUGCUUUCUCCCACGUGCAGGAUGGUGUACCAAGGACAGCAUAUGAAGGAGCAGUAAUCUCCUGGUAUUCACCACCACGGCAUGUGUUUCUAGUGGAUCCGGAUUCUUUCAGGCUGCUUGGGAUCAAACGUGUUUGAUGCAUUGAGGUGAGGUUCCACGGCGCUGGUAAAUCAUGGUGCCAGACCUGAGCUUCCUCUUUCCUCCUCAAUGCCUUGUGUAACUGGUACACUAUCAGAGGAACCACCGGGAGCAUAGCAACUGGAGCUCGCUGAUGAGCAGAAGUGUAGAGGGCUGACGAUUUCUUUUGCGAUUUUGAUUGAGGAGAGGGAGGAUUCUUCUGAACGGCAGUGUCCAGUCCAUACAUAUGCCUUUAAAUGGCCGAAGCAAGCCGUCAUUCAUUGGAAGAGAGCCAUAGGUCAUGUUAGCUUACUUUACACUUAAUAGCACGUAACCUCAACAAAUUUUGUUGCUCCCGAAGAAACAUACAUCUGUCUCUCGCCAUGUUUCCCCGCUCUUUUGCCCCCGCUUUGGCGGGUUGGAGCGCGGAGGACUAAAAUGUAAGAGACCCACACAGUCGAAAGUGGGAGUUCAUGCCUGUCUUUGUAUGCAAAACAUGAGGAACUUCUAGUCAUGUGUGUUGUGAACAAAAUGGUGAGAAAAAUUUGGUACAAAGUUUAUUUAUAAAAUUUUCUUCAAAGUAUGCACUUAUAACCAUGUUCAGAAUGUUUGACUUUACUCACCAUGAACAAAAUUAAAUUGAUGAGCAUUUUAUGAUAAUGAGAAUUCAAAAUCAAGUUUACACUUUAUUUAUAAAAAAAAAAAAGGGAAAAUUUUGGUACAAACUUAAAAAAAUUUCUUCCAAGUAAGCAAAUAUGAUCAAGUUUAGAAUGUUUGUUUUCACUUAAUAUGGACAAAAUUAAAUUGAUGAGCAUUUCAUGAGAAUGAUAAUUCAAUAGCAAGUUUACACUUUAUUUUAAAAAAAGAACAAUUGAAAAAAAAAUUGGAACAGAAAUUUUGUACAUUACCAAACUUGUUUCUGUUCUUUUUCUAUUCCAGAAACAGAAAUUUUUUGCAGUUACCAAACGUGUUUCUGUUCUUUUUCUAUUUCAGAAACAUAAAUUUUAUACAGUUACCAAACGCGUUUUUUUGUUCAGAAAUUAUUCCUUGGAACAAAAACACUUUUUUCUAUUUCUGUUUCCUUGAACAAUUUUUAAACAGAAACGUUACCAAACGCACCUUAUGUAGCAACUAUCCUCUGUUUUUAAUUUACAUCAGUGACAAUAUGUAAAUACAACAGACCAAUACUUAAUACAGAAGCUGAUGGUAAAAUCAUGAUUGAUGCUUAUAUUUAUCAAUACUUUUCUAAAAGUAUUAAUUUUAUUUGGUUGUAUCAAGAUUACAAGAUAUUUCGAUUAUUUGCAUUAUUAAUUUGCACAGCAUACUGUCUAUUAAAGUACUAACCAAUAAGCUAAAAUUAGCUUGUAAGUUAAUUUAAGAAUAAUAGGUAAUACUAUUCAAAUUAAGGUGGUAAUGCCAUAUAAGAACUAAUAAUUUUAACACAUUGAUAAGUGAUUCAAAUAAAUAAUGAUAAAUUAUUAUAGAAUUUGGUAAUUUGGAAUUGACCAGAUAAAUUUUGGUAGAUGACUCAAAUAAGAGUUGAUGGCCUCACAAGAGUUAUAGCUCAUAAUUGAAGUAAAAGUGAAAAAUUAUUAUUCGUUUAUUUUGUGAAAAAUGAAUGAUUUGAAAAAUAUUUUUUUACACGAGAUUGAUUAUAUCAUUUAGAAAGAUUAGUUGACCGGAAAAAGUUUUCCUUAUUGAUACCAUUUCAUACUAGAGUAGUGUUGUAAAUAAUAAAAUUAUUUUUCUUUCAAUCAUUGUUAUAAAUAGCACAAAUGAUCAUAUUUAUAGAAAAAAAAUUAAAUUUCAAAUUUCUUACAAAACAAAUGCAUCCUAAAAUUAAGUUAAUAGCUGUACAUUGUUUGUAAGCUAAUCAUAAUUUCGAGGGUACUGAAUAAUGUUGGUAAUUGACUCAAGACAAGAGUUAGAUAAGUAAAAAUAGUUAGUAACUCAAUUUGACAGAAGUUGCUAUAUCACUCAACUAAUGAUUAGUAAUUUUGUAUAAAAUUUACUAAUCUUAACAAUUGGUAAGCUUUGCAGAUAGAUAGUAGUAAAUUGCUAUAAAAGUUAAUAAUUGAAGUGCCAAAACAAUAGAAAAGAAAAAAGAACGUUGGUUUGUAACUCAAAUAUAAUUCAAUGAACUAAAAUUACAUGGUAAUUUAAUCAAAGAAUAGUUAGUAAUUAUUCAAAUUGACGUUUGAUAAGAGUUAAUUUAACAAAUUGGAGAACUUUGCAAAUAAACUGCGAUAGAUUCCAAAGGAACCAAAAAAACUCUGGUUUUAUCUACUCAAAAAGGUGGAAUAAAUUUGUAAAGUCCAAAGAUCCAAACUUUUCUUUUUUAUCGAACAAGAGAUUGUAACUUCAAAAGGGUCAAAUAAAUAAUGAUAAGUGCUUCAAAUAAAAGUUAUAAUACUAAAACUAAUCGCUAACUAAAUCUAAGAAAAAUUAUAAAUUUACUCAAAUUAAAGUUGAUAAUUUUUUAUUAAAUUUGAGGGGUUAAAAAUGUAACGCUGUGCAAGUGAAAGUAGAACAAGAGUCAGGACACAUAAGGUGCGUUUGUUUGUGUUUUUAUUCAAAAAUUGUUCCGGGGAACAGAAAUAGAAAAAACUAUUUCUGUUCCAGGGAACAAUUUUUGACCAGAAAGACGCGUUUAGUAAACUUUUUCCGGGAAUAAAAAGUGAAUAAAAAUACGUUUGAUAAAUUUGUAUUCUUUUUUUGUUUCUUUUAAUUUUUUAAUAUUUUUAUUUUUCCUUUUUUUCUUUCUUUUUUCUUUUUUUCUUCUUUUGGCCGGCGGCCUCGCCUAGCCACGGCAAGGCUCGCCGGCCCCUGGUGAGGCCGAGCCUCACCGGUGGUUGGGCUUGCCCAGCCACCAGCGAGGCUCGACCUCACCGGAUCUAGGCGAGCUCGAGCUCGCCAGGCCUCACCCCGCGCCGGCGAGGCUCGCCCAGCCAAAGCGAGGAGCCUCGCCAGGGGCCGGCGACGCUCGACCUCGUCGGGGGCCGGCGACCCUCCGGCGAGGUCACCAACCAAAAAAAGGAAGGAGAGAGAAAAUUUGUUCUACAAAAGUGUUUCUGGACAAAAAAAUAACUUGUUUUUUAUUUUUUUAUUUCUGUUCUAAUUUUGUUCCCAAAACAAAAAAAUAUAUAUAUUUUGAAUAAAAACGCAAAUAAACGCGUUUAUGUUCUUUUUUGAUCCUGGGAACAAAAAAACAGAAAAUUUGUUCAUGAACAAGAAAAAGAAACACAAACAUGCAGGCCCAUAUUCUUUCACUUUUUGCAAGUCCUGUCCUAUUCUGGCCUUCAUAGGAUUUGCUCGCCUGCUGCCUCCUUUCUUCUUCCUUCCCCCCGGCCGCUGCCGCCGCCUCCACUUUACUCUCUCCAUACUCUCCAAAUCCUCUCAUGAGCGAAAACCCAAGAAGCAGCCUAUACAACAUAUGCAUCUGCGCAUACGUAUGCGGUGCAGAGCGAGUCGCAGCUUCUUUCUGGCAGUUUGUCGAACAGGUGGUGAGCGUGUGGUUGGGAUUUCGGCAAAACAACUCGAUCGACUGGAGUGAUGCCUAAAGUCUUCUCCCGAGUGAAGGUUGCGAAUCUGGCUUAGCUGCAGUUUGGCAUAGCUUGCGGUGUUCCUUGCCCGUCUUCUUGCGAGAAUUUCUCGGGGGAAUGCUGUUGAUUAGGAAACUGAUGAGUCGUUCGAUCAAGAAAGAUCCUCUCUUGAACGGGCGGUCAUCUCCCGCUGAUGAGUGCAUUACAGGUAGGGCCGCAAUCUUGCUUUACACGUCUCAAUUGGUCAUCGGAAGGUCGCCUUUAGGACACAUGUCCUCCAUGUCAGGGACUUGAAGCAUGCAUUAAGCGUGCGGAUUUGAUUGUCCGGGCUCUCCCUGAGCCCGCGGUGGAAAUUUUGAAGUAUACACCAAUCUUCGCCGAGACAUUUUGGAAUGAAGAAAUCAAAAUGAUAUAAGUUUGAGAGAUAUAAAUUAUGAAAAAUUUAUAUAUUUGUAACAAAUUUACCCUUAAUUAAUUUCCGUUAAAUACUACAUACCAGCUCUCCUUUUGGUUGGACUUGCUAAGUUCGAAGGUGUGAUUUGAGCGAGCUCGGACGAAGCAUGUUUCUUUCUUGGCCAGAGACCGUCCACUUGAGUCAAUCAUGUCACGAGCAAAGGUCGUUGUUAUCCUCUCAUCAUGAAUCGAGUCCUUACCCUCGUUCGUAUGAUCCCUAAUCAACUCUAGUCGGUAUUCAUCAUUAUCGAAAGCAUCUGCAUUUAAGCUUUCUGAAAUCGAUCUGGAUAGAGAAACUGCCUGAAUGAGAAAGACAUAAAUUAAAUUACAAUUUCCGUACGACAAUAAAGUUGCCCGACGAGCCACGAAUGGCCGAGACAGCAUCCCUGUCCUCUCACGCUUUUUUCCCGACUCGGUCGUAGUGGGGAAUCUCUUUUCCUCCCUGCUCGUGAGUGAAGGUUGGGAUCUUUUCCGAGAGGUCAUAUGUUUCCUUCCUCCCUUUUGCUUUUGCAAAAAGGAAAAUUGAUUUCUUCCGUCGACAUGGAGCGAAGAUGACAUUUUUGUUCUUCUUUGAUUCCGCACCCGACUCAAUAACAAAAUUUACUUUUGUUUUUGUUGAUUUUUUGCAACAUUUUGUUGCGUGCAAUGAUUCCUCUUUUGAGCUGGAAAGCAUCUUGAAAUGGCAAUAGCUAAAAGGGGGCUAUUGAAGUUGUUGCGGAAAAAAUGCCCAAAGAUACCAAUCAAAGCACAAAUAAUAAAGGAUGAAAGCAAAAUUGAAAUUGCACGAAACAUAAGAUACGUGUGAAAAACUCAAAACAAGAAAAACUAUAGGGAGAGAGGGAUUUUGCUAUAUUUAAUAACAAGUACGAGAGUAUAAUCCAAAAGCUCUAAAAACUAUUUGGCGAGCCACCAGAUCUAAAGAUCCAACGAGAAUAUAGAAAAAAACAAAUGAAGAGAAAUAAUAUGAAGGUUAGGAUUUGAGAAGUGUUAUUAGAUACAUUUUUUUUUAAUAGUCUCAAUUCAAAAAAUCCCUAAGACAAAUGUGCAUGGUCUAAAAUACCAUUAUCUCUAAUUCGAAAGUCAAAACUCAAUAAAUGUCCAUAUUGACUUUAAAUCUCCAAAAAAGUAUUAUGCCAAAUACCACAGGACCUCUCUCCCUCACCAUUAAAAGUGACCACACAAGGCUACUGCAAAAUAGUAGAAUUGACGAUGCAUGCCCUUAAGCCUACGUGAGCGUACUCGGUGUAGGAAACAAAGGAUGAAAUGCCACCAACUUCGCCUAAGCAAAUCAAAUGGUUAAAACACCAAUCAAAUCCAACCGAUGCUUGAACUUGGUUAAAGGAACUAGCUUAGUCAAAAUACUUGUCGGAUUAUCCAGUGUAGAUACUUUUCUCAUUGUAACUAUACCUUAAGCAAUCUAAUAAUGCACAAAGUGAUACAGUAUGUCCAUAUAUUUUGUCCUCUUGUGAUGCAUCGCGUUCUUGGUCAAAACAAUUUGCAUUUUGGUUUUCGCAACAAAUAAUGGAGGCUUCCUCUUGCUUAAGUUCCAUAAUCAAAUGUUUCAACCAAAGAGCUUCCUUUAUAGCUUCUGCUGUUACCAUAUACCGCUUCCGUCGUUGCCAUAUACUCUGCUUUGAUAGUGGAUAAAGCAAUUGCAUCAUGUAAAAUUCCUCUCCAACUAACCACAAAAUCACCAAGUAUAAAAGUAUAACAUUUCAAAGAUCUCCUUUUGUCAAGAUUACUUACAUAAUCAAAAUCAACGAAGUCAACAACCGAAUGUUUUAUAUCACAACCUCCAUCAAAGAUCAAACUCACAUAGGUACCGAAGAAUCAAUUUCACAACUUGCUAGUGAGCUUUACUUGGACGUGCAAUAUACUUGCUCACAACACUAAUAGCUUAGGAAAUAUAUGGACGAGUGUAAACCAUAGCAUACAUAAGGCAAAAUACUAGAAUAUGGAGCUUGAGACAUCUCAUCUUCUUCUUCUUUAGUAGUAGGCGAUAAAGAAGUUGAAAGCCUAAAUUGGGAUGCUAAAGGAGUACUUACCAAUUUCGCUCAAGAUUUUCUCAGUAUACUUCUUUUGCGAGAGGUAUAAUUUUCAAUCUGUCCGUCUCUUUGAAUCUCCAUACCUAGAAUUUUCUUGGCAGCUCUAAGAUCUUUCAUAUCAAAUUCUUUGCUAAGUUGCCUCUUCAAAUUUUGUAUCUCUAAUAUGUUAUAUCCAUAUUUAAUAGAAAACAAAUAAAAGAAACAGCAUGUAAUCUCUUAUAGUAUACACAACUAUCAUGCGUACUUCGUGAGUGGCCAUAACUCAAUAUAAAACUAUCAAACCUCUUGUUCUAGAUCAUAAAGGGCUAAGACAUAUAGAUUGUCUCUGCUCGCCAUGACUCAACAACGAAUCUCUCGGGUUUAGACAUAUAAAUUGUCUCCUCAAGCUCGCCAUGUAGAAAAGCAAUCUUGACAUCAAGUUGCUAAAGUUCUAAAUCAUAAAGGGCUAUUAAUGCGAGCAACACACGAAUGGAACUAUGUUUCACAACUAGAGAGAACACUUCAUUAAAGUAGAUCCUCUCCUUCUAACUAAAAACUUUUGCUACCGAACAUGCAUUGAAUCUUUCAUCUUCAACUCCUAGAAUUCUCUCUCUUCUUUUGAAGACCCACUUGCACCCAACAGAUCUUUUACCUUUAGGGAAUUUCACAAUAUCCUAAGUUUGAUUCUUAUGAAGAGACUUGAUCUCUUCAUUCAUCACAACAAGCCACUUCUCAAAUUUAGAACAAAUAGUACCUUCACGGAAUGUAGAAGAUUCUUCAAUACGAAGCUCUUCAACAACUGUAAGAGUAUGGCCCUAUUUGGUUGGGCAUUUAGAAAGCCCUUUGGGACUCUAAAGUCCCUUGGCCAAAUGCAAACGCGUUUGGUUCAUUUUUUGGGUGGCUUUGGCGAGAUGCAAUUGCAUCUCCAAGUGGCUCUAAGGGGCUUUAGCUGAAUGCAAGGGUUGAGAUGCUUUGGGAAGUUGUAUUUUGGGAAUGCAAGUAGCUCGGUUACUAUUCAUCUUCUCCAACCUCUCCAAGUUGCUGAUCAGAGGCCGACGAACACCGACUAAGGGAUGGCACACGCCAACGACUGCCGCCUGAGGGUCGGCCGACUUCGGCGACCGUUGCCGGACCUCAGGCAACGUCCGGAUCUCGCUUCCCAAGUAUUGGCCGCCUGGAUCGCGCGACCCUAGGCGAUGGUUGCUGGGGUUGGGCGACCCUAGGCGCCUGGUCGCCUAGGUUGUGCGCGGCUGUCGCCUGGUCGCCUGGGUUGCACGACCCCAGGCAACGGCCAGCUGAGGUCGCGUGACCCAGGCGGCUAGAUCUGGCCAUCCGGCCACCAGCGCGACCCCAGCGACAAUCGCCUGAGGUUACGCGACCCAGGUGGCUGGACUUCAAAAAAGAAAAUAUAAUUUUUUUGUUUUUUAAUUUAAUAAAAGUCAUUUACAAAUGCAAAUUUUACCAAACGAUAUUUUAGCCAAAGUUGUAUCUCAGUACAAAUUUUACCAAACGAUAUUUGUAUUUCGGAAAACCUCCUUCACCCAAAGGUAUUUGUAUUUUGGCAAAUGCAUUUCCCAAAAGCCGAACCAAACGGGCCCUAACCCUUUUUACGAUGAUCAAAAUUGGGAGUUGUUGGAACUGGCUCUUGGAACUACUUCAUGAAGAUUAACCAUACCCAAUCUAAUCCAAAAUAGUUCCACUGUUAUUAGGAAUUGGGGUUAAUAAAAUUAAAUGUCCCAAAUUGGUAUCCCAUGAUAUAUUUAUCCCCAAACUAAUUUUUCUCUCACAAAAAGCAAAACUAAUACCCAUGACCCAUAUCUACCAUUCUCAACAUUCCAUCCAAUAUCUCACUAAUUUUUCUCUCACAAAAAAACAAAAAUAAUACCCAUGACCCAUAAUCUACCAUUCUCAACACGUACACAAGAAGGACUUAAUGUCGAGAAUGACAGAUUAGACGUGAAAAAUUCACAUGUGUCAACACGUACGUAUUUUAAUGAAAUAUCAGACGAAAUGAAGAUAGAGGAUGGAUUAGGGUUGGGGUAUCCAUUUGGUAUUAUUUAUGAUAUAAAAAUUAGUGUGGGAGUAAAUAUGUCAUGGGGUACUAGUUUGGGACUUUAGGAUUAUAAAUAUAACAUUUUGAUAUGCAUGCCCAAUUCUCGAGAUAACGUUAUACAUUACAUCACAGCAUAUUAUACUUUUAAAGAAACGGGAAAGAUCAUGAGCCGACAAUGAAGUCGGAAUGAUUCUAUCAUGCAAAAAUGAAGAAAAUGUUAAUUCGUAGUAUCCCAUACGUAGAAUCAGUGCGACAGAAGUCGAGCUUAUAGAAAACGAAAUGGUUGGUGCCUUUGGUGGACCCUAUUAUUUCUUCAAUACAAAUCUUGUUUGUAUUUAGUUUGUCGCCAUUACGAGAUGCCUUCGAACUCAAAUAGGCACAGACCCGAAAGAAAAAAAAAUCAUAUGGGACAAAAGUGCACCCAAGAAAAUGGUGCCAAAAAAAAAAAAUGAACUUCUUUCUUGAGUUGGGUGUUAAGUCAAUAAGAGCUAGCGUCUUCUUCACUCAAUGUUGACGUCAGAAAUUCAUUUAUUUAUUUAUUUUUAAGAUAUAAAGAAUCUUUUAAGGCUCUAUUUGGUAAUUUGCCAAACGGUAACAAUUUCUAUUUUCUUUUUCUUUGUGGGAGAAGAUGUAGAAUAAAAAUUCGUUUGGUAAAACUUUUAUUUUCGAGAACAAAUUUAUAUUUUUUUUUUGUUUUCGAAAAUACAUUUGAAACAAAAUAAAAAAGUAAAAAAAAAAAGUUGAUUAUUUGUUCCAAAGAACAAUUUCAGAAUCAAGCCAACCUGUAUUUUGUUUUUUGUUUUUUUUUUUCUCUUUUCUCUUCUUUCUUCUUGUUCUUCUUCCCUCUCUUCUCUUCUUCAACCGAUGUCGUUGCCGCCCACUACCACUAGUUGCCAGUGACUAGUUUAGCAAAUUUCGACAAGCUCACCAGAAGCUCGCCCAACCUCCAGUGAGGCUCGGCCUCGCUAGAUCUAGCGCAGUUGAACCUUGCCGGUGGCCAGGUGGGCAUCACCCAAGCCUCUCCCAGCCACCAACAAAGCUCAGCCGAGCUUUGCCCAGCUACCCGUGAGGUUUGGCCAAACUACGCACAACCCCGAUGAGGGUUGGCGACGCUUCGGUGAGGUCACCGCCCUCAUUUAGCCGGUCACCGGUCAUCCCAAGGCCGGUGAAUGGCAACCCUUGAAGAAGAAGAUGAGAAAGGAAACAAAAAAAAAAAGAAAGAAGGAAAAAAAAAGUAAUAAAAUUAUUUAAAAAUUAAAAGAAAAUGAUUUGAGUAGAAGUUUUAAGAACGGUGUAAAACACAAUUCUAUUCCGGAAAUUGAAAUUUUGAACAAUUACUCAAACGGUUUAAAAUAUUUAGAAAUUGUCAUUGGGAACAAAAUAAAAAAUAAAUUAUUUUUUAUCAAAAAUUGUUCUCGAGAACAGAAGCGUUACCAAACCCGCCCUAAGCGUAGAUUGGGCUUAACACUAGAAGUCAAUCGAAACUCGAACUCAAGAUGCCGUGAAAGAUAAGCAAGCACGCUAGAUUGCUAAGUCGAUCAUGCCAUGCGGCGAGAAGAACUCCAAAGGUGAUUGUGACGACCCUCGCAUCGUGUAAUUUCGUUGGACUCCUAAAUGAAGGCAUUGAGCACCGAAUAACCCAAUCGAUAGUCUAAUCAUUUCGUAUCAUGUGGGUUGCUCAUAUAUUCUUGCAUUUCAAAAUCAAUUGUUGCAUGAAUGAAUGUCGAUAUGUCAUAUGGAAGGGCCACAACCCAGUUCAAUUUUCUUUACGCUUCAUCUCCUUUUUUUCUUUUGGUGUUCAUUUGAAAUAAUGGAUCAUACAAGGAAAUAGAAACGAUAUGGAUGAGGCGUGACUAAAUCUAGAUUUGAUUAACAGCAUUAAUACUUAACGGCAAAGAUAAUCAAUAUACUUUGCUAUAGGUCCAAAGUUCCUCAGACUCUAUAAUGAUCGUGGCAAAGUCGCAAUGCUAGAACGUUCAGCCAUGCGGACCCAAAAUACCAUAAAAAUAGCAUUUUACCAAUGAUCAAAAUUGGGAGGAGUUGUUGGAACCGGCUUGAGAAACUACUUCGUGGAGAUUAGCCAUAUAGAAUCUAAUCCAAAUUAGUUCCACCCUUAUUGUGGAUUAGAUUUCAUAUCAUUAAAAUUCUCAAACUGGUUAUUCAUAAAUUAAUUGUCAUCUUACAAAAAAUUCCCAAUCAACCCAAAUCUACCACUCGUUAAUAUUCCGUUUAAUAACUCAUUAAUAUGCGUAUGCAUCAACACACGUAACAAAUGACUGCAAGAUGGAUUGGACAUGGAGAAUAACGGAUUUGACGUGGAAAUCACGUGUGUUGACAUGUAUUUAUUUUGACGUAAUAUCAAGCAGAAUGCCGAUGCAGGAUAGACUUGAGUAAGGGGUACAUAUGUUGAGAUUUUCUGUCAGACGAAAAUUAGUUUGGGUAAAUAAACCAUGAAGGUACUAGUUUGUGAAUUUUAUCGGCAUUACCCCAAAGUAUUAUAAGUAAAACCUUGGAUAUGCAUACUCAAUUGUCUUGAUCAAUUGUGCAUUACAUGAUAAGAUUUAAUGCUUCGGAAAAGAAGGGAAAAAUCGCCAACAAUGGAGUUGGAACGAUCCUAUCAUGAAGUAAGGAUAACAAUAGUUCUGUAUUAAUGCCAUCAAUUAUACCGAUCUAGUUUAUGAUAAAUGAUUCGGUUAGUGCCCUUAAUUGGAUCAGAUCCAAUAUUUGGGUUUUGACUUUCAAAUUAGAGAUAAGAGUAUUUUAGACUAUGCACCUUUGUUUUAAGUUUUUUUUUUUUAUAAUUUUAAGAGAGACUAAAGGGUGCGUUUGUUUGUGUUUCUGUUCAAAAAUUGUUUCGGGGAACAUAAAUAGAAAAACUAUUUCUAUUCCAAGGAACAAUUUUUGACCAGAAAGAUUCAUUUGGUAAAUUUGUUCCAGGAAUAAAAAAUGAAUAGAAACACGUUUGGUAAAUUUAUAUUCUUUUUUUGUUUCUUUUAAUUUUUAAAUAUUUUUAUUUUAUUUUUCCUUUUUUUCUUCUUUUGGCCGAUCGCCGGCCAUGCCGAGGCUGGCGACCGGCUGAUGGGGGCCGACAGCCUCGCCCAGCCACGAUGAGGCUCACCGGCCCAUGGCGAGGCCAAGCCUCGCCCGCACCGGCGACGCUCGGCCUCGCCUUGGCUAGGCGAGUUUGGCCUCGUCCAAAUCUAGUGAGGCCAAGCCUCACUAGGGGCCAGCGACGCUCGACCUCGCUGGGGGCCGGUGAGGUCGUCGGCCCUCAACGGCCAGUCGCUGGCCAUGGCCGAGGCCGGCGACUGGCCAAAGAUAAAAGAAGAAGAAAAGAAGAAGAAAAAAAAAAGAGAAAAAAAGAGAGGAGAGAGAAAAUUUGUUCUUCAGAAGUGUUUCCGGAACCAAAAAAACAACAUUUUUUUGUUUCUUAUUUCCGUUCCAAUUUUGUUUUGGGAACAAAAAAAACAGAUUUUGAACAAAAAUGUAAACAAACGCGUUUUUGUUCUUUUUUUUGUUCCCGAGAACAAAAAAACAAAAUUUUUGUUCAUAAACAAAAAAAAAGAACAUAAACAUGCAUGCCCAAAAUGAAUAUGUUUAACAACACAUCUCAAACCCUAGCCCUCAUGUUAUUUCCCUUCUUUUGUUUUUCCUAUUUUCUCAUUGGAUCUUUAAAUCUAAUGGCUCACCAAGUGAUUUUUAAAGCUUUUGAACUGUACUCUCAUACUCGUUGUUGAAGAUAGUGAAACCUCUCUCUCUCCGUAAUUUUUCGUGUUUUAAGUUUUCCACGUAUAUCUUGUGUCUUGCGCAAUUUCAAUUUUGCUUUCAUCAUUUACUACUUAUGCUUUGAUUGGUGCAUCUUUGGGCAUUUUUUCGUAACAAAUUUAAUACGAUAAAAAAUCUCAAUAUGGUAGCUCGUCCGAAUUUACCCAAAUGAAUUCUUGUGUCACAAAAAUUUCAAAAGAUUACUCUCAUACCACACUUACAUCAAAUUAAAUUUUGCGUCAUAAAAAAUUCCAAAUCGAUACACCCAUGUCACAUUUAUUCUAAAUUAAUUUUAUGCCAUCAAAAAUCUCAUAUCACCAGAAUUAGAGAUAUUAGAGAUUUCCCAAUCGAAGACUUUGGUAAUUUGGGAUUUUUUUAUUUUUGUGACAUGAAAUUUAUUGUAAGGUAAAUAUGGCAUGGACGUACUAAUAUGGGAUUUUUAUAACACAAAAAUUAGUUGGUGGCAAAUGUGGCAUGGAUGUAUCAAUUAGAAGCCUUGAUGAUGCAAAAAUUAAUUUUGGAUAAAUGUGACAUAAGUGCACCGGAUCGGAGUUUUGAUGAUACGAAAAUUACUUUGGAAUAAAUGUGACAUGAGCAUAUCAUUUUGAGAUGUUUGAUGGUAUCAACCAUUGAGAGAAUGUUACUUUAUCAACAUUUCAAGUCGUCAUGGCCUGAACCAUUCUAGCAAAAGAACUUUGCCACAAUCAUUACUGCGUCCUAAGAACUUUGAACCUACAACAAGGUCUAUUGACUUUUCAAUAAUCUUUUUCACAAAGUCAAUAUUUUAUUUUUAAAAUUUUCUUUUUGCAGGAGAAAAUUUGCUUUCAAAUAGGUGAAUAAUAUCAUGGAGGUGCAGGACCAAUAUAUGGAUAGAGCACAAGAGUAUCGAAUCCACAAAAACAUAUUUAUUAAACCCUUAGAUUUUGAUUGGGAGAAGAUAGCUUCUAAAUCUAGAACUAGAUUAAGAGAGUUCAACCUCUCAAAUCUAUAACUAGACUAGAACUGCUCCCAAUUUUGAUCAUUGGGAAAAUGAUAUCUCGACAUUUUGGGUCCGCAUGACCGAACCAUCCUAGCUACUGGAAUUUGCUGUAAUCAUUAUUAAGUCUUAGGAACUUGACCUAUAGCAAGGUAUAUUGAUUAUUUUUGUCACAAAGUAUCAAUAGGGUAAAUCAAAUCUCGGUUUAGUCGCGCCUCAUCCAUAUCGCUUCUGUUUUCCUGUAUGAUUUGAAGUUAAUGCUUAUAACUUGACAAUCUUAUACAUAGAAUUGUCGGAUUUGUUGUUAGCGGUGGCCACACGCUUUUGUCCCAUUAUCUCGAAUGAAGACGAAAAGAGAAAAGAAGAGAUAAAUGCAAAGGGGUUGUGUGCCUUUUUCUAUCGACAUCAGCUCAUGCAAUUGCUGAUUUUAUAGUCAAGUAUUAUGAGCGACCCACCCGACAUGAAAUAAUCAGAGCAUCGAUCGGAUUAUUUGGUAGGGGUGAGUGGUUCCAGGUUCCGGUUCGGUUCCGUCCGGAACCUGGAACCUACCCUAGGGUACAGGUUCUUCAAUUUUUAGAACCUGGAACCUACCCGUCAGAACCGAGAACUUGGAACCUACCCUGUCACAGGUUCCGGGGUCGGUUCCAGGUUCCAACAGGUUCUUUUUUUUUUUUUUUUUUCAUUUUCGUCAUUGCUAUGUGCUCCUUGCAGAAAGUUACGGCAACAUGCUCAGAUACACAAAGUACAAGCUCAAUAUAGCUGCCAUGGCGUGCGGUCGGCAAAUGCAAGGACAAAACUAUGAGGAUUGCAUCAAAGAUCGGCAAGAUAUAUUUCAAGUCCAUAUGAUGUUAUGAAACCUCCUUUCCUGCAUAAGAGCGGUUUAUUGUUACCGCCCUAAACCUGCAUGAAGAGAGACUGACUUUUCAGUUGUCAUUCUGAAAAUAAUAAGUAGCAUCACUGAAAGAACAACUUGAAAGCUUAAAACCCAACAAGAGCAUGUGUAUGGUGCUUCAGUAAAUGUAUCUAUCCCGGGACAAGCAAACAGUUGCAAAUCCGUUCAUUGAGCCGUAAACUAGCAGAAGAAGUGCAAAAUCAUCGUUUUCUUAGUUUGAUGCAUGAGAUUUACCAAUUACAACAAAAUGACGGCUUGGACUGCAUGUACUGCAAACUGCCUCAACAGAAGGAUUCAGCUUGUCUAUUGGGUUUAGCAUUUAACUAGAGAAUCAAUCGGCUGAUAAUUUCUUUCCCAUUUCAGGCCGGCAAAAGAAGAUGGUCACAUCAAUAUCAGCUGAAGAUUCUUCACCCCAAAUGGGCAGUGUUGAGUAGAGUGGCAAAUAAUAUAGAUACAGUGCCAAGUAUUGCAGGCACAUUGGCUAUUCCUUCAGUAGACAAUAACAUAUACAAUCCUAUGAAAAUAUAGCACAUAAAUAACAAUUUGUUCCAACAAGAUCCAGAAUAUGGCUAAGCUGCACCCUACAAUACGAUUGCUAUCGUAUUUUGUCAUUGAACAGAAGAAAAAGAAUUCUCUUCCCUACAAAGACAACACCAAACUAACCGGUUAAGCAGCAGUAUGCCCAGUCUAGCAACAUAAUGUUGUUGCUCUGCAGCAGUUAGACCUACUCCACAUAAAUAAUGUCUCCAUCAGGAUCCCCGCCUUCCCAAUUGCUUUCAUCUUGAGGAUGAUAUGAUGCCUCAACCACGUCGACGGUGGCGGUUCGGAGCAAUGACGGCUCGAACGGCCAAGCGAGCAGCAGGCUACAGCAAGAGGUGGUGACGGUGGCUUGGGGACGGCGGCGGUGGCUCACGGCGGCGAGGGGCCGCGCGACAGCUUGUCGGGCUCAACGGCUCAACGGCUCGUCGGACGAGCGGUGGGUGGUGGUGGUGGUUCGGUGGCCAAGAUGUGGUGGUGAGUAGGGUGUGGGGCGGCGGUGUGGUGGUGAGUGAAGCAGCAACCAGCAAGAGGAAGGAAGGAAGGAAUGAAGAAGAAGAAGAAGAAGAAGGAGAAGAAGAAGGGGUGGGGUUUCGGUCGAGAGAGGGGGAAAGAGAAGAGAGAGAGAGAAGAAAAGAAAAAAAGUUGGGGGACAGGAAGUGACGUGAGCAGGAAAAAGGGAGAAAAGAAAGAGAGAGGGAAAAAGAGGGGGGAAAAGAAAGAGAGGGAAAAAGGAAGGGGAAGGGGGGAAAUCUCGUGGGUGCUCUUGGGUUUUUUUUUUUUUUUUUAAAUAUCUGACCGGUUCCGGUUCCCAUUGGAACCAGAACCGGGAACGCCGGUUCCUAGAAAAAUGGAACCGGGAACCGGAACCGGUCUCUUUAGAACCGGGAACCGAACUCCGGUUCGGUUCUCCGGUUCCCGGUUCUACCCGGGAACCGUGCUCACCCCUAUUAUUUGGUGCUCAUUACCUUUGCUUGGGACCCAACUGAGAUUUCUGAUGCAAGCUAGUUGUGGAAAAAUUAUCAAAAAAAUCUAAAACUCAUCAUGUGAAUGUCAAUUCAAUUUCAAAUUUUCAAGAUCGUUAAAUUAGUCAUAUACAUUUAUUUGAUUUGUCAAUAUAGUCAUUCCGGCCAUUUUUGGCUAAAAAUUGCUAAUGUAGACAUUAGCCGUCCUACAUGACAUGACCUAUAUGUAUGCUAAUGUGGACAAUUUUUGCAUUUUUGAAAAAGAAGAAAAUUGCAAAAUAGAAAACAAUUCAGAAAUUUUUAAAAAAAAAUUGCAAAAAUUAUCCACAUUAAUGGUAAUCAUGUUUUAUAGGAUGGUUAGCAUAAACGUCAAUGAUUGCUAGCUGAAAUUGGUGGGAAGGACUACUUUGGUAAAGCGUUAAAAAUUUAGUAUUAAAUUGAUCAAAUUAAUAAGUUUAAGAUUAUAUUGACUCUUUCACAGUGAAUUAAGAAAUUUUUUAAAUAUAAUUAUCCACUACAGUCACCUCGGGACUUCUUCGCAUCGCAUAGCAUAAUUGGCUUAGCAAUCUCGCGCUUGCUAAUCUUUAAGGCAUCUCGAUUUUGAGCUUUUGACGGACUUUUAGGGUUGAACCCAAUCGAUGCUUGCGCGAUUUUCCAUUUUAUUAAAAAAAAAAGGAAAAAUGAAUUUCUCAUGUCAACAUUGAGUGAGGAAAACGCUUGUUCUUCUUAAUUUAACACUCAAGUCAAUAAAGAAGUUCACCUUUUCUUUUUGCACCAUUUUCUUGCGUGCAAUUUCCAUCCUAUUUGAGUUCGAAGGCAUCUCGAAACGGGGACAAAGUAAAUAUAAACAAGAUGUGUACUGAAGAAAUAAUAGAGUCCACGAAAGGCACCAACCAUUUCGUUUUCUAUGACCUUGACUGAUGUCGCAUUGAUUGUAUGCAUGGAAUACUACAAACUUAACAUUUUCUUCAUUUAUGCAUGAUAGAAUCUUUCCUGUUAGAGAUAAUUGAGAUAAGUCUUUAAGAUAUUUUCCUAUAUUAGAGAUAAUUAGAAUACGUUUGUUAGAUUUAUGUAUCUUUUAACAUCGUGCAAUAUCUUAUACAUAUCUUUAUUGAUAUAUGUCAUAUUUGAUAAUCUUUCAUAAAAUCUAUAAAUAAGUUGAUGUACUUUAUUAUGAUAUAUUGAAAUAUAUAUACAUUUUUUCCAAUUUAUAUUUUCUGUAUUCUUAUAUUUAACUUGGUACCAAUGCUAGACGAUCUUGAAGCGUGUUAGGUGCACUUGCAUCGCACUCGGUGCACACCCAAGUGCAUUUUUUAAGCUAAAAUUGUUUCCUGUCAUUUAUUUUCUAAUAAGUCCUAAUAUCCUCCAGUUAAGUUGUUUUCCCUCCCAUAUGAGGAAGUGCUUAGUCAAGUUCAUUCCAUAAUGGUCAUGUUUCAAUGCCAAUCACAAUAGUCACAUCACCCAGUCGAGCCUUUCACAGAGAUGGCUUUACUUUCGAUACUAGCCACAUAAGCCCCGCUACCUUAUAUUUUUACCUAGUCAAAACGUCAAAUAUGUGGAUAGAGCACAAGAGUAUCGAAUCCUAGAAAACAUAUUUAUUAAGCUCCCAUAUUUUGUUAGGGAGAAGAUAGCUCCUAGAUCUAGAAUUAGAUUAAGAGAGUUCAAACUCUCAAAUCUAUAACUAGACUAGAUUUGCUCCCAAUUUUGAUCAUCGGGAAAAAGAUAUGUCGACAUUUUGGGUCCGCAUGACCGAACUGUCCUAGCGAUUGGAAUUUGCUAUAAUCAUUAUUUAGUCUUAGGAACUUGAACCUACAGCAAGGUAUAUUGAUUAUUUUUGUCACAAAGUAUCAAUAGGGUAAAUCAAAUCUCGGUUUAGUCGCGCCUCAUCCAUAUUGCUUCAGUCGCACCUCAUCCAUAUCGCUUCUGUUUUCUUGUAUGAUUCGAAGUUAAUGCUUAUAACUUGACAAUCUUAUACAUAGAAUUUUCGGAUUUGUUGUUAGCGAUGGCCACAUGCUUUUGCCCCAUUAUCUCGAAUGAAGACCAAAAGAGAGAAGAAGAGAUGAGUGUAAAGGGGUCGUGUACCUUUUUCUAUCGACAUCAGCUCAUGCAAUUGCUGAUUUUAUAGUCAAGUAUUAUGAGCGAUCCACCCGACACGAAAUAAUCAGAGCAUCGAUUGGAUUAUUUGGUGCUCAUUACCUUUGCUCGGGACCCAACUGAGAUUAUUUGAUGCAAGCUAGCUGUGAAAAAAUUAUCGAAAAAAUCUAAAACUCAUUAUGUGAAUGUCAAUUCAGUUUCAAUUUUUCAAGAUUGUUAAAUUAGUCAUAUACCUUUUGAUGAUUUGUCAAUAGUCAUUCCGGCCAUUUUUGGCCAAAAAUUACUAAUGUAGAUGUUGGCCGUCCUACAUAACAUGACCUAUAUGACACAAUCUACGCUGAUGUGGAUAAUUUUUGCAUUUUUGAAAAAGAAGAAAAUUGCAAAAUAGAAAAAAAAAUCAGAAAUUUUUUAAAAAUUUUGCAAAAAUGAUCCACAUUAAUGGUAAUCGUGUUUUAUAGGAUGGUUAGCAUUAACGUUAGUGAUUGCUAGCCUUGCUAGCCGAAAUUGGCGGGAAUGACUACUUUGGUAAAGCGUUAAAAAUUUAGGACUAAAUUGAUCAAAUUAAAAAUAUUAAGAUUAAAUUGACCCUUGCACAAUCAAUUAAGAACUUGUUUUAAUAUAAUUAUCCACUACAGUCACCUCGGGACUUCUUCGCAUCGCAUAGCAUAAUUGGCUUAGCAAUCUCGCGCUGCUAAUCUUUAAGGCAUCUCAAUUUUGAGCUUUUGACGGACUUUUAGGGUUGAACCCAAUCGAUGCUUGCACGAUUCUCCAUUUUAUUAAAAAAAAAAAAAGGAAAAGUGAAUUUCUCAUGUCAACAUUGAGUGAGGAAAACGCUUGUUCUUCUUAAUUUAACACUCAAGUCAAUAAAGAAGUUCACCUUUUCUUUUUGCACCAUCUUCUUGCGUGCAUUUUCCAUCCUAUUUGAGUUCGAAGGCAUCUCGAAACGGGGACAAAGUAAAUAUAAACAAGAGGUGUACUGAAGAAAUAAUAGGGUCCACGAAAGGCACCAUCCAUUUCGUUUUCUAUGACCUCGACUGAUGUCGCAUUGAUUGUAUGCAUGGAAUACUACAAACUUAACAUUUUCUUAAUUUCUGCAUGAUAGAAUCUUUCCUGUUAGAGAUAAUUGAGAUAAGUCUUUAAGAUAUUUUCCUAUAUUAGAGAUAAUUAGAAUACAUUUGUUAGAUUUAUGUAUCUUUUAACAUCAUGCAAUAUCUUAUACAUAUCUUUAUUGAUAUAUGUCAUAUUUGAUAACCUUUCAUAAAAUCUAUAAAUACGUUGAUGUACUUUAUUAUGAUAUACUGAAAUAUAUAUACAUUUUUUCCAAUUUAUAUUUUCUGUAUUCUUACAUUUAACUUGGUACCAACGCUAGACGAUCUUGAAGUGUGUUAGGUGCACUUGCAUCGCACUCGGUGCACACCCAAGUGCAUUUUUUAAGCUAAAAUUGUUUCCUGUCAUUUAUUUUCUAAUAAGUCCUAAUAUCCUCCAGUUAAGUUGUUUUCCCUCCCAUAUGAGGAAGUGCUUAGUCAAGUUCAUUCCAUAAUGGUCAUGUUUCAAUGCCAAUCACAAUAGUCACAUCCCCCAGUCGAACCUUUCAUAGAGAUGGCUUUUCUUUAGAUACUAGCCGCAUAAGCCCCGCUACCUUAUAUUUUUACAUAGUCAAAACGUCAAAUAUGCGGAUAGAGCACAAGAGUAUCGAAUCUCAGAAAACAUAUUUAUUAAGCUCCCAGAUUUUGUUAGGGAGAAGAUAGCUCCUAGAUCUAGAAUUAGAUUAAGAGAGUUCAAACUCUCAAAUCUAUAACUAGACUAGAAUUGCUCCCAAUUUUGAUAUGAGGAAAAUGAUAUGUCGACAUUUUGAGUCCGCAUGACUGAACUGUCCUAGUGAUUGGAAUUUGCUAUAAUCAUUAUUAAGUCUUAGGAACUUGAACCUAUAGCAAGGUAUAUUGAUUAUUUUUGUCACAAAGUAUCAAUAGGGUAAAUCAAAUCUCGGUUUAGUCGCGCCUCAUCCAUAUCGCUUCUGUUUUCCUGUAUGAUUCGAAGUUAAUGCUAAUAACUUGACAAUCUUAUUCAUAGAAUUUUCAGAUUUGUUGUUAGCGAUGGCCACAUGCUUUUGCCCCAUUAUCUCGAAUGAAGACGAAAAGAGAAAAGAAGAGAUAAGUGCAAAGGGGUUGUGUACCUUUUUCUACUGACAUCAGCUUAUGCAAUUGCUGAUUUUAUAGUCAAGUAUUAUGAGCGAUCCACCCGACACGAAAUAAUCAGAGCAUUGAUCGGAUUAUUUGGUGCUCAUUACCUUUGCUCGGGACCCAACUAAGAUUAUCUGAUGCAAGCUAGUCGUGGAAAAAUUAUCAAAGAAAUCUGAAACUCAUUAUGUGAAUGUCAAUUCAGUUUCAAAUUUUCAAGAUCGUCAAAUUAGUCCUAUACCUUUUGACGAUUUAUCAAUAUAGUCCUUCUGGCCAUUUUUGGCUAAAAAUUACUAAUGUAGACGUUGGUCAUCUUACAUGACAUGAUCUAUUUGGCACGACCUACACUGAUGUUGAUAAUUUUUGCAUUUUUGAAAAAGAAGAAAAUUGCAAAAUAGAAAACAAUUCAGAAUUUUUUAAAAAAAUUUGCAAAAAUUAUCCACAUUAAUGGUAAUCAUGUUUUAUAGGAUCGUUAGCAUUAACAUCAAUGAUUGCUAGCCGAAAUUGGCGGGAAUGACUACUUUGGUAAAGUGUUAAAAAUUUAGGACUAAAUUGAUCAAAUUAAAAAAUUUAAGAUUAAAUUGACUCUUGUACAAUGAAUUAAGAACUUUUUUUAAUAUAAUUGUCCACUACAGUCACCUUGGGAGUUCUUCGCAUUGCAUAGCAUAAUUGGCUUAGCAAUCUCGCGCUUGCUAAUCUUUAAGGCAUCUCAAUUUUGAGCUUUUGAUGGAGUUUAAGGGUUGAACCCAAUUGAUGCUUGCACGAUUCUCCAUUUAAAAAAAGAAGAAGGAAAAAUGAAUUUCUCAUGUCAACAUUGAGUGAGGAAAACGCUUGUUCUUCUUAAUUUAACACUCAAGUCAAUAAAGAAGUUCACCUUUUCCUUUUGCACCAUUUUCUUGCGUGCAUUUUCCAUCCUAUUUGAGUUCGAAGGCAUCUCGAAACAGGGACAAAGUAAAUAUAAAAAGGGAAAAAUUCAAAUAAAGACCCAAAGUGCCAUCAUUUUCUCAAAAGAGGACCUGAAGUGAAAUUUGUCUUAAAUAAUGACCCAAAGUAAUUAUUUAGUCUCAAAGAAUGACCUCACUCGUCGGCCGGUGAAUAGAUACAUCUCCGAUGUAUAUUCUGGUGGCUUGAUUAGGGUAUUUUCGUCCAUUUUUUUUUUUCAUUUUUGGUUGCCCCGUUCAUUGCCUUCUUCGUCCCCCGUUCACUUCUUCUUGCCCAAAUCAAGAACUCCAGACUUGAGGAAAGGCCAGCAAGCGCUGGCCGCUAGUAAGGGUCGACGAGGGCUCGACGCCCAUCACCAGCAACGAGUGAGAGCUCGACGCCCAUCGUUGAGAGCGGGCGAGGGCCAUCAAGCCCUCAUUGACCAUGGGGGAGGGGGGGCCGACCAAAUUGAGGCCCUACAAGAAAGUCCUCAGGGGCAAAAGGGGUAGCUGAAGAAGUCGUUGAUCCGGGAAUAGUGGUGGGCUCGACGGCCCUCACCGACUACAACCAAGGUCACCCUUGUUAGAUCUGGCGAGGGUCGACUUGCAAGCCCUCACCCAUGCCUGGCGAGGGUUUAAUGGCCCUCGCCUACUGCCGGCGAUGGGCGUCCAACCCUCGCAAGCCCUUACCAACUACCAGCGCUUGCUAGCCCUUCCCAAGUCCAAUGUUCUUGAGAAGAAGACAAACAGGGGACGAAGAAGAUGAUGAACAGUGCCACCAUUGACCAAAAAUAAUAAUAAUAAUAAAGAACAAGACAACCAAAAAUUAAAAAAAAAAAAUUGAACGAAAAUACCCUUGAUCAGGCUACCGGAAAAUGCAUUGGAGAUGCAUCUAUUUACCGGCCAACAAAUGAGGUCAUUCUUUAAGACUAAAUGAUCACUUUUGGUCCUUAUUUGAGACAAACUCCACUCCAUGUCCUCUUUUGAAAAAAUGAAGGUACUUUGGAUUCUUAUUUGAGACAAAUUUCACUUCAUGUUAUCUUUUGAGAAAAUGAUGGCACUUUGGGUCCUUAUUUGAAAUUUUCUCUAUAAACAAUGUGUACUGAAGAAAUAAUAAGGUCCAUGAAAGGCACCAACCAUUUCGUUUUCUAUGACCUCGACCGAUGUCACAUUGAUUGUACGUAUGGAAAACUACAAACUUAACGUUUUCUUCAUUUUUGCAUGAUAGAAUAUUUCCUAUUAGAGAUUAUUAGGAUAAUUCUGUAAAAUAUUUUCCUAUAUUAGAGAUAAUUAGAAUACUUAUGUUAUUUUUUUGUAACUAUUAAGAUCGUGCAAUAUCUUAUGCAUAUCUUGAUUGAUAUAUGUAACGUUCGAUAGUCCCUCAUAAAACCUAUAAAUAAGUUGAUGUACUUUAUCAUGAUAUAUUGAAAUAUAUAUACAUUUUGCCCAGUUUAAUUUUUCUGUAUUCUUACAUUUAACUUGGUAUCAAUGCUAGUCGAUCUUGAAGUGCAUCCGGCGCACUCGCAUCGCACCUAGUGCACGCCCAAAUGCAUUAUUUAAGCUAAAAUUGUUUCCUAUCAUUUCCUUUCUAACAAGUCCUAAUAUCCUCCAUUCAAGUUAUAUUUUCCCUCUCAUAUGAGGAAGUGCUUAGUCGAUGGUCAUGUUUCAUUGCCAAUCGCAACAAUCGCAUCGCCCGGUGAGCCUUUCAUGGAAGUGGCUUUUCUUCCGAAUGCUGGCUGCAUAGGCUGCUAUCUCUCUCUGUCGAUGCAUAUUCAGACAGACAAGUAGGCAGUAGCAUGAAAACAAGAAAGCAGAGCCCCCUCGUACUUUCUUUUGUUGAUUUUCAAAUCUCAUUUUGUCUUUUUCCAAGUGGGUCCCGCUACCUUAUUUUUUACCUAGUCCAAAUGUCAAAUAUUUCAGCACCCAACCCUCGGACAAAGAGAGCGAGGGUAGAGAGAGAGAGAGAGAGAGUGGCGUGAAGAAGGAAAACCGAGACUGAAAUUUUUUCGAAUUGGCGCCUCUUUUUCUCUGCAGAACGUGGGUCCCACGAGGACACGUGUCGCGCUCCCACCGCCUUCUUAUUUGCCAGCUGGAGCAUGAGACGUACCUAAUAUUUUCUCCCCCCAACCCUUCCUUUCCUUUUCCUUCUCUCUCUACGUAUGCGGACAAGUCGGUAGUAGCAUCCAAACAAAGAAAGCGGGGCCCUUUGGUUUAUCGAGGAGAGAGAGAGAGAGAGAGAGAGAGAGGAACCCAAUCACGGCUCGUCCUGUGCCUAAUCCAAUCUGUGGAUGCAGUAGAUUCUCCCCGAUGGCAUCCUCUAUAGCCAGCGCCUCAUUCAUUGCAGCCUCGUUUUUCUUCCUCUGCUUCCUCGUCCGAUAGCCCGUCAGCAUUCACGGGCUGCUACAAAACAAACGCCUUACCCCUGUUCAACACCGCGUCCCGCCUUAUAUAACCCACGUAUCGCUCGUCUCUCCUCCAUGUCGCAAGACAUUGCAUUUGUUCAGAGAGUUGCUCUCCGGAGGUCGCGCACCCUCCCAAGAUGACCCCUGCCCAGAACAGAGCGCCGAAGGUGUCCUCUGUUUUGCUCUGCCUCUGCUGCAUUCACGCGUUCUUCUCAUGCGCCGUCCGGCUCGUCGCGGGCCAGACGUCCAAGCCGGUCUUCGCUUGCGACGUGGACAGCGACCCGAGCCUCGCCGGCUUCGGGUUCUGCAACGCGUCGUUGGGAGUCGAGGUGCGGGUGGCGGACCUGGUGCAGCGGCUCACCCUGCAGGAGAAGGUCGGGUUCCUUGUGAACAACGCCGGCAAUGUGGACCGCCUGGGGAUCCCCAAGUACGAGUGGUGGUCGGAGGCGCUGCACGGGGUGUCAUACCUCGGGCCCGGGACCAAGUUCUCGAGCCUCGUCCCGGGGGCGACCAGCUUCCCUCAGGUGAUCCUGACGGCGGCGUCGUUCAAUGCCACCCUGUUCGAGACCAUCGGGAAGGUUAGCAAGUUCACAUCAUAUCACUCUCUCACUCUUCCUCUUUCUUGCGCUUCUCUGUUUUUGACUUUCGCGUGCGGAUUUAGAUAUUGUAUUGGCGUCCGCGCGUCGUAGUCGGCCGCAUCAUGCACGAUGAUAUGAUAGAAAAAAGCUCGAAACUUUUAUCCAACGUGACAAGAAAGUUCAUGUUGCGAAGCAACUACGGCCAUCAGAACGGCUGGCGGGGACCACCGGCCACCGUCACUCGAAUCGGUAGAUGCAGUGCGUCAGUGAAUUUAGUUACUUUACACCGUGACAUAUGAAUUUUCAUGUAAAAGUAGAUUUUUCUGCCUUUUCAAGAUUCUGUGAAAUCUUUUCAUGUCAGUCCUUCAGUCUAAUUUCCUGCGUCGACGGCUACUGUUCCUGAUAUCCAGUUUAUUCCCGUUGAUAGUCGCUACCGACGUCCUAGCUUGUACUGUUGCAUCUUAAUUGCCAUUCUAUAUCUGUACUCUCUCAAUGCGGCAUUAAAUAAGCCCCGAUAUACGCGUAUGUCCGUUUCUUCAUCCACUAUUUGAUUUGAAUCCAAACCCACAAACUACAAGAUCGAGAAGUACAAAUGCACAUUGCUGCAGAUGAUCUCCCGGCUCUUUGCUGUGAGAUUCUUUUAUUUUUGGUAAAAAUUUGCUGUGAGAUUCUUGAUGCUAGGGAAAAUGAAAACUUGCUUUUUUUGGGGUGAAACUGCAAUGGUGAAAUUGGUCAUGAAAAGUACUAGGAAAUUGGGAGGAGGAGAAGCGUUAGGUGCUGGAGGGGAAGAAGAUCUUAUGGUUGGAUCCUCAACCACGCUGGCAUCAGUUGGUGCCACCUUUUUAGCUGCACACCAUAUGAACUGCAGUAAGUGCAACCCCCCUAAAAGAAAAAAAUAGAGAGAGCUGACUGACCCUGACUUUAUAGGCACCAGGCUAAAGUAUUCCACUUUUGGCUUGUUCCCACAGCCAAGUUUGACGAAAACAUCAUCAAACCUUCCACUGGGUUGUCUGUACCAUUGUGGAAAAACAUGUGAUGUGGACACAAGAAUAGUAGGCUUUGAUCAUGUGUUAAGUUGCUGCGUGUGAAAAUCUUGCAUACAUCGAGAAGAAAAGGACAGUAGAGAAGGGUCUUUGCUUCUACUAGUAUCACCGUCAUUUGGAUCUGUUUGGUUGGUGUUUGUCAGUUCGAUGAGAUGAUAAUUACUGGAGCUGGCAAAAGGGUGGUGUCAUGAACAUUGCCACGUCAUUGCACAAAGUGAGUUCCUUCCUUUGCACUCAAUGAGGGGGACCAAUUUCAAUUGUUAAGUGCUGGAAACAGAAAGCAUUUUAUAAGGGAGAAGUAUUUAGAUGACUCGGCCGGAGGUUCGAAUAUAUCGGGAAGAAAGGAUAGAUGGGACUAGUGACCAAAAAAUACAGGAAAAUCACGAGUUGAGCAAACUUAAGUUUUCGCGAAAUGGGGGAAAAAGAAACGCAUCUGAAUCUUUUCCAAGUGAUCAUCUGAAUAUACAUGAUCUGCUCCUUGACUUCUACUUCUGCAAUACCUAAGUUUAGGAUUAUUUGAUUCCAAUACCCUUAGAAUUCAUACUAUCUUGCUGAUUGUCAUCACGUUUCUAGUCCGAAAACGAAUUAGUUUCUCGUUCUGACUAGGUCAAAAAUUUAAACAUUCUAAAGCUCUGCGGAAUAAUAUGGAGAAGAGUGGACAAAUUAUGCAAUAGCUUUGCUGAAGCAGGUGGUUUCGACAGAAGCCCGGGCGAUGCACAAUGUGGGGUUAGCCGAAUUAACGUUUUGGUCCCCGAAUGUCAACAUAUUCAGAGACCCAAGAUGGGGGCGGGGCCAGGAGACGCCGGGGGAAGACCCGUUACUCUCGAGCAAGUAUGCGUCGAGUUAUGUCCGAGGCCUACAACAGAGCGAUGAUGGAAAGACGGACCGGCUUAAGGUCGCUGCGUGUUGCAAACAUUAUACUGCGUAUGACAUCGAUAACUGGAAAGGUGUCGAUCGAUUCCACUUCAACGCUGUGGUAAAUAACAAUUUGCAGACUUCUCUUUCGUUUUUAUUCGAUUUGAUUUAUUGAGCAGUUAUAUGCAUGACCAUCUCAAGUUAAUCUCCUGUGUCGCUUGUGCUGGACUGAUCAGGUAACCCAACAAGAUUUAGAUGAUACUUUUCAACCGCCGUUCAAGAGCUGUGUCCUCGAUGGCAAUGUCGCAAGCGUGAUGUGCUCCUACAACCAGGUUAAUGGUAAGCCAACGUGCGCAGACCCGGACCUUCUUGCCGGGAUUGUCCGAGGAAAAUGGAAAUUGAAUGGGUAACACUCCAUUGCUCGUGCAUUGCUAUUAGAUACUUUUGAUCAAUUAUUGCGUUGUUAUUUAUGCAAAAGGAUCGGUUAAUGCAGAUACAUAGUUUCGGAUUGCGAUUCAGUGGACGUGUUCUAUAAUAGCCAGCACUAUACUAAAACACCAGAAGAGGCUGCAGCUAAGGCCAUUUUGGCAGGUAGAUGAAAAUUUCAUACUGUACUUUGAUUGAUUGCGAUGAAGGCGUUUGAGAAUUCGCUGUGAAAUGCUUCUUCUUUGAUGACCGUAAUUCCCUUUUUCGACAGGGUUGGAUCUUGACUGUGGAACUUUCCUUGGCCAACACACUGAAGCCGCCGUGAAAGGCGGAUUGUUGAAUGAAUCUGCGAUUGAUAAGGCCAUCUCUAAUAAUUUUGCCACGCUGAUGAGGCUGGGCUUCUUUGAUGGCGAUCCAAGGAAGCAGUUGUAUGGAAAGCUCGGCCCGGAUGAUGUGUGCACACCAAGCAACCAGGAGCUGGCCCGCGAAGCUGCAAGGCAAGGGAUUGUGUUGCUUAAGAACACGGCAGGAUCAUUGCCCUUGUCCUCAACCGCCAUAAAGUCCUUGGCGGUGAUCGGACCAAAUGCCAAUGUCAUGAAGACCAUGAUCGGGAACUAUGAAGGUGAUCAAAGAAUUUAUGCAAUAGACUGCACGACGUUGGAUCAGCUUCAUUAUUAGUACCCGUCACGGAAAAUACCUUAAUUAGAACUCCUACUUUCCUUGCAGGCACUCCUUGCAAAUAUGUGACGCCUUUGCAAGGCCUAGCAGCCGUCGUUUCGACAACGUACGUGGCUGGCUGUGCAGACGUAGCGUGUGGCAUGGCCCAGACAGAUGACGCGAAGAAGGCUGCAGUUUCAGCAGAUGCGACAGUGCUUGUAAUGGGUGCCGACCAGUCGAUCGAGAAGGAGAAGUUGGACCGGGUCGACCUCAACCUCCCAGGCCAGCAGUCGCUCUUGGUCUCCGAAGUGGCGAACGUGUCAAAGGGACCUGUGAUCCUUGUGAUCAUGUCAGGGGGAGGGAUGGAUGUAUCAUUCGCGAAGGAUAAUGACAAGAUCACGAGCAUUUUGUGGGUCGGCUAUCCCGGCGAAGCCGGCGGCGCUGCAAUGGCGGACGUGAUUUUCGGUGACCAUAAUCCUAGUAAGAUUCAGUCUUUGGCCACUUCGAAUUUUUGUAAUCCCUUAUUCAAAUUCUGAUUCACUGAGUCGCCAACUUUAACUUGAAUCAGGUGGAAGACUGCCAAUGACAUGGUAUCCGCAGUCAUACGCGGAUGCCGUCCCGAUGACAAACAUGAACAUGAGGCCCGAUCCAGCAACGGGCUACCCCGGCAGGACGUACCGCUUCUACACUGGCCCUACCGUGUACUUGUUCGGGGACGGGCUGAGCUACUCCAACUUCAGCCACACUCUAGUCCAAGUGCCGCAGCUCGUGUCCGUGCCCUUAGAGGAGGGCCACGUUUGCCGCUCAUCGGCAUGCGAAUCAUUGGAAGCCACCAACGAGAUGUGCUCGAAUCUGGCCCUAGACGUACAUCUGAACGUCAAGAACGUGGGAAGGUUCAGCGGGAGCCACACGGUGUUCUUGUUCAGCAGCCCUCCAUCGGUGCACAGGGCGCCUCGGAAGCACCUGCUGGGCUUUGAGAAGGUGUUCUUGGCCUCACAAAGUGAGGCGCAAGUGCAGUUCAAGGUCGACGUUUGCAAGGACCUCGGCGUGGUCGACGAGCUCGGCUGCCGGAAGGUCGCCCUAGGGAUGCACAUCCUCCACGUCGGCGACUUGAAGCAUGCGUUGAGCGUGCAGAUUGGAUCGUCCGGGCUCUCCCUCAGCCCGCCGAGACAUUUCUGAAUGAAGAAAUCAAAGUGAUAAAAUUUUGAGAGAUGUUGGCAAGAACUCCCUCUCAACCGAUCCUCAUGUAGCCAAAUUGUUCAAAAGCAAAUUGAAGUUAUGACUAUUAUGUAGCAACUACCUUUGUUUUUAAUUUACUUCAGUGACAAUAAGUAAAUACACAUACCAAUACUUAUUACAAAAGCUGAUGGUAAAAUCAUGAUUGAUGCUUAUAUUUAUCAAUACUUUUGUAAAAGUAUUAAUUUUAUUUGGUUGUAUCAAGAUUACAAGAUAUUUUGAUUACUUGCAUUAUUUAUUUGUGCAGCGUACCGUCUAUUAAAGUACUAAUCGAUAAGCUAAAAUUAGCUUGUAACUUAAUUUAAGAAUAAUAGGUAAUAUUAUUCAAAUUAAGGUGGUAAUGCCAUAUAAGAACUAAUAAUUUUAACACGUUGAUAAGUUAUUGUAACUUAAUUUAAGAAUAAUAGGUAAUAUUAUUCCAAUUAAGGUGGUAAUGCCAUAUAAGAACUAAUAAUUUUAACACGUUGAUAAGUUAUUCAAAUAAAUAAUGAUAAAUUAUUACAGAAUUUGGUAAUUUGGAAUUGACUAGAUAAAUUUUGAUAGAUGACUCAAAUAAGAGUUGUUGGGCUCAAAUGAGUUAUAGCUCCCAACUGAAGUAAAACUGAUAAAUUACUAUUCGUUUAUUUUGUGGAAAAUAAAUAAAUUGAAAAAUAUUUUCUUACAUGUGAUUGGUUAUAUCAUUUAGAAAAAUUAGUUGAUGGAAAAAAAAAAUUCCUUAUUGAUAACAUUUCAUACUAGAGUAAUUUUGUAAAUAAUGAAAUUAUUUUUCUUUCAAUCAUUGUUAUAAAUAGCACAAAUGAUCAUAUUUAUAGAAAAAAAAUUAAAUUGCAAAUUUCUUACAAAAAAAAUGCAUCCUAAAAUUAAGUUAAUAGCUAUACAUUGCUUGUAAGCUAAUCAAAAUUUCGAGGAUACUAAGUAAUGUUGGUAAUUGACUCAAACAAGAGUGAUAAGUAAAAAUAUCUAGUAACUCAAUCGGACAAGAGUUGUUGUAUCACUCAAUUAAUGAUUAGUAAUUUCGUAUAAAAUUUAGUAAUCUAAACAAUUGGUAAGCUUUGCGGAUAGAUAGUGGUGAAUUGCUAUAGAAGUUAAUAAUUGAAGUGCCAAAACAAGAAAAAAGAAAAAGAAUGUUGAUAUGUAACUCAAAUAUAAUUCGAUGAACUAAAAUCAUAUGGUAAUUUAAUCAUAGAAAAGUUAGUAAACAUUCAAAUUGACGUUUAAAAAAUUUGAUAAGAGUUAAUUUAACAUGUUGGAGAACUUUGUUAAUAAACUGUGAUAGAUUCCAAAGGGACCAAAAACACUCUGGUUCUAAUUACUCAAAAAGGUGGAAUAAAUUUGUAAAGUCCAAAGAUCCAAACUUUUCUUUUUUGUCGAAGAACAGAUCAUAACUUCAAACGGGUCAAAUAAAUAAUGAUAAGUGAUUCAAAUAAAAGUUAUAAUAUUAAAACUAAUCGCUAACUAAAUCUAAGAAAAAUCAUAAAAUUACUCAAAUUAAAGUCGAUAAUUUUUUUUUAAAAAUUUGAGGCGUUAAAAAGGUAACGCUGUGCAAGUGAAAGUAGAAUUUGUUCAAAGUCCCUGAGCAAGAGCCAGGGCACAUAUUCUGGCCUUCAUAGGAUUUGCCCGCCUGCUGCACUCCUUUCUUCUUCCUUCACCGCCGCUGCCGCCGCCUCCUCCUCCACUUUACUCUCUUUAUACUCACCGAAUCCUCUUGUGAGCAAAAGCCCAAGAAGCAGCCCACACAACAUAUGCAUCUGCGCAUAUGUAUGCAGUGCAGAGCGAGUCGCAGCUUCUUUCUGGCAUUUUGUCGAACAGGUGGUGAGCGUGUUGUGGGGAUUUCGGCAAAACGACUCGAUCGACUGGAGUGAUGCCUGAAGUCUUCUCCCGGGUGAAGGUUGCGAAUCUGGCUUAGCUGCAGUUUGGCAUACAUUGCGGUGCUCCUUGCCCGUCUUCUUGCAAGAAUUUCUCAGGGGAGUGCUGUUGAAUAGGAAACUGAGUCGUUCGAUCAAGAAAGAUCCUCUCUUGAACGGGCGAUCAUCCCCUUGCUGAUGAGUGCAUUACAGGUAGGGCCGCAAUCUUGGCUUAAUGUCUCAAUUGGUUGUCGGAAGGUCGCCUUUAGGACGCACGUCCCCCCACGUCGGGGACUUGAAGCAUGCGUUAAGCGUGCGGAUUUGAUUGUCUAGGCUCUCCCUGAGUAUAUGCCAAUCUACGCCGAGACAUUUCUGAAUGAAGAAAUCAAAGUGAUAUAAGUUUGAGAGAUGUUCGCAAGAACUCUCGGCUCUCAACCGAUUCUCAUGUUGCCAAAUUGUUCAAAAGCAAAUGGAAGUUUUGACUGCUAUAUAGCAACUCUCCUUUCCUUUUAAAUUUACAUAAGUGACAAUAAGUAAAUACAACAGACCAAUACUUAUUAGAGAAGCUGCUAGUAAAAUCAUGAAAAAAUUAUAUAUUUGUAAUAAAUUUACUCUUAAUUAGUUUCCGUUAAAUUAAAUACUACAGACUGGGAAAAUUAUCCAAAAAAUCCUAAACCUAUUGCACUUUUACCAAUUCAGUCAUAAAGUUUUUAACUUUGUCAAUUGAGUCUUAAACAUUUUCACUUUUUGCCAAUUCAGUCUAUCCGGCCAAUUUUGGCCGGAAAAUGUUGACGUGGACGCCAGCGGUGCCACGUAGGAUUGCCGGAGUUGACGUGGAUAAUUUUUAAUAAUUUUUUGAUUUUUAUUUUUAUUUUUUUUGUUUGUUUUUUUUCCUUUUUCUGUUUUUUGUUUUUUGUUUUUUUUUUUUUUUGGCUUUCUUAGCCUUUUCCGAUGGCCGACCACCAGCCACACGUGAGGCCCGGCCGGCCGAUCCACUUCAUCAAUUUCUCUGAGCAACGCACAGACAACAACCACCUCCGGAAUGGCGGCAUUCACCCUCUCCCUCGACCCUUACUCAGUUCCUUGGCACUUUCCUCCGUCGUCCUCGUCCCCAUCUCCAUCUCCAUCUCCACUCACUCGCUAGCCUCAUUUUCGCUUCCCUUGCGAGCGUUCGAAACUGGCUGCCGUCUCCUUCUCCUCUUCCCUGCAAGGUCCGGUUUCAUCGCCACUUUGCACCUUUAGGAUCCUUUAUUUACUCUUUCUCUUCUUUGGGUCGCUUCAAUUUGCACCUAUCUGAAUCGUUGACGAGUGACGGCGACGAUUUUGCAUUGAGCAGACAACGACGUCUCGCUCGUCGCCCGGCCAGGGGUGAGGGCUGGCCUCGCCAGAUCUGGUCUGGGCGAGCCCCGGCAAGGGCUCCCCUCGCCAGAUUUGGCGAGGCCGGCCCUCGCCCAGGCCAAGGCGGCCUCGCCCGGCGUCGCCGUUGCCCGGCCGACGCCCGACAAGGCCACCCUAGCCUGGGCGAGGGUUGGCCUUGCCCAGGCGAUCCUUGCCGAGCCGCGCUCGGGGGAGAGCUCCCCUCGCCGAGGCUCCUCCUCGCCCAGCUGGGCCUCGCCUGUGGCGGGCAAGGCCAGCUAGUUGGCCGUGGCCGGUGGCCAACCAGCCACCGGAAAAGGGCAAGAAAGCCAAAAAAAAAAGGGGGGGGGGGAACAGAAAAAUUCAAAAAUAAUAAUAAUAAAUUCAAAAUUUUAUUUAAAAAUUAUUAAAAAUUGUCCACAUCAGCUCCGGCAAUCCUACGUGACACCACCGUCAUCCAUGUCAGUAUUUUCCGGCCAAAAUUGGUUGGAUGGACUGAAUUGGCAAGAAAUGAAAAGGUUUAAGACUCAAUUGGCAAAGUUAAAAUGUUUAUGACUGAAUUGGCAAAAGUGCAAUAGGUUUAAGACUUUUUGGACAAUUUUCCCACUACAGACCAGCUCUCCUUUUGGUUGGACUUGCUAAGCUCGAAGGUGUGAUUUGAACGACCUCGGAUGAAGCAUGUUUCUUUCUUGGCCAGGGACCGUCCACUUGAGUCAAUCAUGUCACGAGCAAAGCUUGUUGUUAUCCUCUCAUCAUGAAUCGAUUCCUUACCUUCGUUCGUAUUAUCCCUAAUCAACUCUAGUCGGUAUUUAUCAUUAUCAAAAGCAUCUGCAUUUAAGCUUUAUAAAAUUGAUCUGGAUAGAGAAACUGCCUGAAUGAGAAAGACAUAAAUUAAAUUACAAUUUCCAUACGACAAUAAAGUUGCCCGACGAGCCACGGAUGUUCGAGACAGCUUCCCUAUCCUUUCACGCCUUUUUCCGACUCGGUCGUAGUGGGGAAUCUCUUUUCCUCCCUGCUCGUGGCCUUUUGCCUAUGCAGCUUGGCCUGUUGGGUGCCUUCUAUGGUAUGUGUGAUAAGUGAAGGUUUGGAUCUUUUCCGAGAGGUCAUAUGUUUCCUUCCUCCCUUUUGCUUUUGCAAAAAGGAAAAUUGAUUUCUUCCGUCGACAUGGAGCGAAGAUGACAUUUUUGUUCUUCUUUGAUUCCGCACCCGACUCAAUAACGAAAUUUACUUUUGUUUUUGUUGAUUUUUUGCAACAUUUUUUUGCGUGCAAUGAUUCCUCUUUUGAGCUGGAAAGCAUCUCGAAAUGGCAAUAGCUAAAAGGGGGCUAUUGAAGUUGUUGCGGAAAAAAAUGCCCAAAGAUGCACCAAUCAAAGCACAAAUAGUAAAGGAUGAAAGCAAAAUUGAAAUUGCACGAAACAUAAGAUACACGUGAAAAACUCAAAACAGGAAAAACUAUAGGGAGAGAGAGUACGAGAGUAUAAUAACGAGCACGAGAGUAUAAUCCAAAAGCUCUAAAAACUAUUUGGUGAGCUACCAGAUCUAAAGAUCCAACGAGAAUAUAGAAAAAAAAACAAAUGAAGAGAAAUAAUAUGAAGGUUAGGAUUUGAGAUGUUUUAUUAUAUACAUUUUUUUUUUAUAGUCUCUCCAUUCAAAAAAUCCCUAAGACAAAUAUGCAUGGUCUAAAAUACCAUUAUCUCUAAUUCGAAAGUCAAAACUCAAUAAAUGUCCAGAUUGACUUUAAAUCUCCAAAAAUGUAUUAUGCCAAAUACCACAAGACCUCUCUCUCUCACCAUUAAAAGUGAUCGCACAAGGCUACCCCAAAAUAGCAUAAUCGAUGAUGCAUAACCCUAAGCCUACGUGAGCGUACUUGGUGUAGGAAAGAAAGGAUGAAAUGCCACCAACUACGCCUAAGCAAAAAAAAUGGUUAAAACACCAAUCAAAUCCAAGCAAUGCUUGAACUUGUUUAAAGGAACUAGCUUAGUCAAAAUAUUUGUCGAAUUAUCUAGUGUAGAUAAUUUUUUCAUUGUAACUGUACCUUAAGCAAUCUAAUAAUUCACAAAGCGAUACUGUAUGUCCAUAUAUUUUGUCCUCUUGUGAUGCAUCGUGUUCCUGAUCAAAACAAUUUGCACUUUGGUUAUCGUAACAAAUAACAGAGGCUUCCUCCUACUUAAGUUCUAUAGUCAAAUGCUUCGACCAAAGAGCUUCCUUUAUAGCUUGUGCUGUUACCAUAUACCGCUUCCGCCGUUGCCAUAUACUCUGCUUUGAUAGUGGAUAAAGCAACAGCAUCAUGUAAAAUUGCUCUCCAACUAACCACAAAAUCACCAAGCGUAAAAGUAUAACAAUUCAAAGAUCUCCUUUUGUCGAGAUCGCUCACAUAAUCAAAAUCAACGGAGUCAACAACCGAAUGUUUUAUAUCACAACCUCCAUCAAAGAUCAAACUCACAUCUAAGGUGCCUCAGAGGUUUCGAAUAAUCAAUUUCACAACUUGCCAGUGAGCUUUACUUGGAUGUGCAAUAUACUUGCUCACAACACUAACAGCUUAGGAAAUAUCUGGACGAGUGCAAACCAUAACAUACAUAAGGCUACCCAAAAUACCAGAAUAUAGAGCUUGAGACAUCUCAUUUUCUUCUUCUUUAGUUGUAGGCAAUAAAGAAGCUGGAAAGCCUAAAAUGGGAUGCUAAAGGAGUACUUACCAAUUUUGCUCAAGAUUUUCUCAGUAUACUUCUUCUACGAGAGGUAUAACUUUCAAUUUGUCUAUCUCUCCGAAUCUCCAUACCUAGAAUUUUCUUGGCAACUCUAAGAUUUUUCAUAUCAAAUUCUUUGCUAAGUUGCCUUUUCAAAUUUUGUAUCUCUAAUAUGUUAUAUCCAUAUUUAAUAGAAAACAAAUAAAAGAAACAUCAUGCAAUUUAUUAUAGUACACACAACUGUCAUGUGUACUUCGUGAGUGGCCAUAACUCAAUAUAAAACUAUCAAACCUUUUGUUCUAGAUCAUAAAGGACUAAGACAUAUAGAUUGUCUCUGCUCGCCAUGACUCAACAACGAAUCUCUCGGGGUUAGACAUAUAAAUUGUCUCCUCAAGCUCGCCAUGUAGAAAAGCGAUCUUGACAUCAAGUUGCUAAAGUUCUAAAUCAUAAAGGGCUAUUAACGUGAGCAACACACGAAUGGAACUAUGUUUCACAACCGGAGAGAACACUUCAUUAAAGUAGAUUCUCUCCUGAGGUAUGAACACCUGGAGUGCCAAAACUUGGCACAGAUGGACGAGAACGCUUCACUAAAGUAGAUUCUCUCCUGAGGUACGGACACCUAAAGUGCCAAAACUUGGCAUGGAGGGACACUUAGGACGUGUUUGGUAACGAUUCUAUUCCCGAGAACAAAUUCGAUAAAAAAAAAUGAUUAUUUUUUAUUUUGUUCCCGGGAAUAAUUUCUAAGCAUUUUAAAUUGUUUGGUAACUAUCCAAAAUUUCUGAUUCUAGAGUAAAAUUACGUUUAAUACCGUGCUCAUUGAUUCUAUUCCAAAUCAAUUUCUUUUAAUUUUUAAAUAAUUUUUUUUUUUACUUUUUUCCUUUAUUUUUCUUUUCGUUUUUUCCUUUUCUCCUAUUCUUCUUCUUCUUCUUUUGGCUGGCGACCUCAUCAGAGUGUCACCAGCCCUCGGCGAGGUUGGCCCUCGUCGACUGGCAAGCUCGUCGAACUGGUUGCCAGCGACCGGCGGCAACGAUGGCGGAUGGCGGUGAACGGCGGCGGACGGUGGCAGACGGUGGUGUAGGACGGCGGUCAAUGAAGAAGAAGAAAAGAGAAUAAGAAGAAGAGAAAAUGGAAGAAGAGUUUAUUUUGAUUCUUAGAUUUGUUCUUGGAACAAGAAUCAACUUUUUUUUUUAUUCUUGAUUUUGUUCCAAAUCUACUUUUGAGAACAAAAUAAAAUAAAAUAAAAAUUUCCUAGGAACAAAAUUUUUACCAAACACGAUUCUGUUCUCAAACUAAUCCCGGGAAUAAAAAAUCAUAAUCAAGCACUGUUUGGAUGGUUACCAAAUAGUGACUUAAGUGCCAAAAUUGGAGCAAAAUUGAUCACUUAAGUGUCACUCUGAUCAAAAUCCGAUCAAAAUGCCAAUGUGGUGAUUUUCUGGUGAAGUAAGUGUAAAACGACGUCAUUUUGGUGCUGACGUGGUAACAAAAUUAAUAGAAAAAUUAAUAAAAUUAAAUUUAAAACUAAAUUUAUUUAAAACAAAAGGUGCAUAGUCUAAAAUACUCUUAUCUCAAAUUUGAAAGUCAAAACCCAAAUAUUGGAUAUGAUCCAAAUUAAGGGCACUAACCGUAUUGUUUAUUAUAAACUAGAUCGUUAUAAUUGAUGGCAUUAAUACAGAACUAUCGUUAUCCUUACUUCAUGAUAGGAUCGUUCCAACUCCAUUGUCUGCGAUUUUUCCCUUCUUUUCCGAAGCAUUAAAUCUUAUCAUGUAAUGCACAAUUUAUCAAGACAAUUGAGCAUGCAUGUCCAAGGUUUUAAUUAUAAUACUUUGGGAAAAUGCCGAUAAAAUUCACAAACUAGUACCUUCAUGGUUUAUUUACCCCAACUAAUUUUCGUCUAACAAAAAAUCUCAACAUAUGUACCCCUUACUCAAAUCUAUCCUGCAUUGGCAUUCUACUUGAUAUUACGUCAAAAGAAAUGUGUCAACACACAUGAUUUCCACGCCAAAUCUGUUAUUCUCCACGUCCAAUCCAUCCUGCAGUCAUUUGUUACGUGUGUUGAUGCAUACGCAUAUUAAUGAGUUAUUAAACGGAAUAUUAACGAGUGGUAGAUCUGGGUUGAUUGGGAAUUUUUUGUAAGAUGACAAUUAAUUUAUGGUAAUGCGUCAUGAGUAACUAGUUUGAGAAUUUUAAUGAUAUGAACUCUAAUCCUCAAUAAGGAAACCUAGACCCCUAAAGUGCCAAAAGUUGGCGCAAAGGGACACUUAAGUUCCAAAAUCGGAGCAAGAUGGAUUACUUAAAGUGCCAAUCCGACCAAAAUGCUGACGUGCGCAAUUUCCAGCGAAGUAAGUGCAAAAUGACGUUGUUUUGCAUGCUAAUGUAGCUAAACAAUGUCAAAACGACGUCGUUUUGGUGGUGACAUGGUAAAUAAUGAAUAUAAUAAUUAAUUAAAUUAAAUUAAAAACUAAAUUUACUUAAAACAUUUUAAAAUGAUAAUAUUAAUAUUAAAAAAAUUUAAAAAAAAAGGGGAGGGAGGCAACUCAGGGCAUAAGCGGCUGAGGGCUGAGUCCUCUUCGCUACCACCAGGAAGGGCCGGUGACGGAAGAGGAAUGGUUGGCCAGGGUCGCCGAGCUCUAGCGAAGGCCUAGGGACCCCGGCCGACCGGCGGCGAGGGCCCGUGACCCCGGCCGACCGGCGGCGAGGGCCCGUGACCCCUGCCGGAUCUAGGUGAGGGCCAUAACCCUCGCCCCAAAUCAGGGACGAGGGCUCGCGGCCCUCGCCCAAUUCCGGCGAGGGCAUGCAGGCCCUUGCCACCGGUCGGCUAGGGUCGCCAGCCCCCGACCAGGGCUCAGUGGCCCCGACCGACCCUCCCCCACCUUCCGGCAACGAGGAGGAGGAGGCGGCGGCGGUGAGGGCUGAGCUCUCAUCCGUUAGCUGCCUUAAUAAUAAUAAUAAUAAUAAUAAUAAUAAUAAUAAUAAUAAUAAUAAUAAUAAUAAUAAUUAUAAUUAUUAUUAUUAUUAUUAUUAUUAUUAUUAUUAUUAUUAACUUUAAUUUAAUUAAUUUUUAUAUUAAAAUACAAAUUAUACCGUAACAACGUCGUUCUUGUGUGUGUUUUGCUAAGUCAAAUUGCCGGCGAGCCACAUAAGAGAGAAAAUUAAUAAAUAAAAAAAUGGGGAUAAGUACAUUAUAGUGCCAUAAGUGUAUACGGUGCUCACUUUGGUGUCAAAAGUUUCUAUCGGAUCACUUAAGUGCCAAAAAGUUUGAAAAACCCUCACUUAGUGCCAACUCCAAUCUGGUUGGCCGGAAAUCCGACGUGGCCUUUUUUUAUUAAUUUCUUAUGUUGAUUUGGCUCGCUGGAGGGUCCAGUUAGCAUCUAAAGCAAGAAACAACAUUGUCUAGUUGCAUUUCCACCCAAAUAAGAACCAUAAUUUGCCAAAUUGAAAGAAAUCCCCAAUUUCAAAUCAAAAUUAUUGUCGAUUAGCCCAUAACUCCUCAGACGUGCGCCAGGUGGACGUCUCGACCUCCUCCUCCAUAAUUGAAGGACGAGAUGAUGAUGCUGCCUCCGCCAGUAGCUUUCCAAUGGACAGAUUCAGCGGCGAACACAAGGCUGAGGAGCCUAGGGGGGACGCUUGCGAUGUCUCCCCAUGACCUUGAGCCCCGAUCGAGGACCUCUUCCCUUAUCGCACGAUCUUCUACCGGUAGGUUAGGCGGUUGACUCGAUUCUAAUUCUAUGUCCGAUGCCACCACUUGUGCGAUGGCUCAACGCUUGACUACGAAAAGAUGUCUCGGGUCAGAGGGUUGAGGAGAUAGGUCAUGCCGCAGAGGUCUUGGAAGCAACGCGACCCAUGACCCAAAGCUCCAACUCUGUGAAGCCACGACCUCCUGGCCAAGUUGGGGGAAUGAGGCUCUGAGCUGUGGCUUGGAUUUGAGCCGAGGACUUCAAACGCCACUCACCGCACGUGCAUGGUGGUGAAGGGUGGAUCGUCAAUGAUGUGGGGCCAUCCUCUGUAGACGGACCUGAGCUUUGUGGAGGAGCUCUAGUAGAAGGGAGCGACAACAACCUUGUCCUCCUCCUCGGCGUUUCACGACAAGAAGAAAAAAAAAAGCAAGGAAGAACAAUAGGUGUGAACAUUGAAGAAGAAGAAGAAGGAGAAGGAGAUGGACUGAUUUUCUUUCUUCUUCGUUGGACAGCAGCCAAGAAAGUCCACAUGGACUGAUUUUCUAUAAAUAAAUAAAAAAUGCUCAGUCAUAUUAAAUUUUUAAUUAAAAAAGCUAUGUCAUUUUUUGGUAUGAAUUUUUCGCCGGUUUGGCACUUAAGUGAUCUGACGAAAACUUUUGGCACCAAAGUAAGAGUCAUACACAACUUUUGGCACUGAUAGUGUACUUCUCCGUGGGAUUUCCAGCAAGGUUCGCCAAAUGUGGCACUCAAGUGGCUCAUUUUUCAUAAAAAGUGACACUUUCGUAAGUUUUGGCACUUAAGUGUUCCUUUGUGUCAACUUUUAAAAUUUGAAACGUUCUUUUGCCCCUCAAUAAGGGUGGAACUAAUUUGGAUUAGAUUCUAUAUGGCUAAUCUCCACGAAGUAGUUUCUCAAGCCGGUUCCAACAACUCCUCCCAAUUUUGAUCAUUGGUAAAAUGCUGCACUUUGGGUCCGCAUGGCUGAACGUUCUGGCAAUGCGACUUUGCCACGAUCAUUAUUGAGUCCAAGGAACUUUGGACCUAUAGCAAAGUAUAUUGAUUAUCUUUGUUGCAAAGUAUUAAUGCUAUAAAUCAAAUCUAGGUUUAGUCACGUCUCAUCCGUAUCGUUUCUAUUUCCUUGUAUGAUCCAUUAUUUCGAAUGAACACCAAAAGAAAAAAAGAGGUGAAGUGGAAAGAAAAUUGAACUGGGUUGUGGCCCUUCCAUAUGACAUAUCGACAUUCAUUCAUGCAACAAUUCAUUUUGAAAUGCAAGAAUAUAUGAGCAACCCACUCGAUACAAAAUGAUUAGAUUGUCGAUAGGGUUAUUCAAUGCUCAUUGCCUUCAUUUAGGACUCUCUCAAGAUUACACGACACGAGGGUCAUCACAAUCACCUUUGGAGUUCUUCACGCUACAUGGCAUGAUCGACUUAGCGAUCUAGCGUGCUUGCUUAUCUUUCACAACAUCUUGAGUUCGAGUUUCGAUUGACUUCUAGUGUCAAGCCCAAUCUAUGCUUAGGGUGCGUUUGGUAACGCUUUUGUUCUCAGGAACAAUUUAUGAUCAUAAAUUAUUCUUUUUUAUUUUGUUCCCAAGAACAAUUUCUAAGUAUUUUAAAUCGUUUGGUAACUGUUCAAAAUUUCAAUUCCCGGAAUAGAAUUGUGUUUGGCACCGUUCUCAAAAUUUCUACUCAAAUCAUUUUCUUUUAACUUUUUAAUAAUGUUAUUACUUUUCUUUUCUUUUUUCUUUCCUUUCUCCUCUUCUUCUUCAAGGGUUGCCGGUCACCAACCUUGGGAUGACCGGCGACCUACCAGUCGAGGGCCGAUGACCUCGCCGAAGUGUCGUCGACCCUCGCUGGGGCCGCGCCUUGUCGACUGAGCCUCUUUAGUGGCCAAGAGAGGCCUAAGCGAGGCCCGCCUAGCCAUUGGCAAGGCUCAACCGUGCCAAAUUUGGCGAGGCCAAGCCUCACCAGUAGCUAGGCGAGCUCGUUGGACCUCGUCGAACUAGUUGUCGGCGACCAGCGGCGAUGGGCGGCGGCGGUUGAAGAAAAGAAAAGAGGGAAGAAGAAAAAGAAAGAAGAGAAAAGAGAAAAAAAUGGAUUGACUUGAUUUUGAAAUUAUUCCCAGAAACAAAUAAUCAACUUUUUUUUUUACUUUUCGAUUUUGUUCCAAAUCUAUUUUUAGAAAAAAAAAAUAGAAAUUUGUUCUUGAGAAUAAAAAUUUUACCAAACAAAUUUUUGUUCCAAAUCUACUCCCGAAAAGAAAAAAAUAUAUAAAAAUUGUUAUUGUUUGGCAAGUUGCCAAAUAGGGCUUUAAAAGAUUAUCUAUUUCCUAUAAAUAAAUAAAUAAAUAAAUAAAGGAAAUGAAUUUCUGACCGUCAACAUUGAGUGAAGAAGACGCUAGCUAUUGAUUCAACACCCAACUCAAGAAAGAAAUUCACUUCUUUUUUUGGCACCAUUUUCUUGCGUGCACUUUUGUCCCAUAUGAUAUAUAUAUAUAUUUUUUUUUUCGGAUCUGUGUCAAUUUGAGUUCGAAGGCAUCUCGAAAUGGCGACAAACUAAAUACAAACAAGAUUUGUAUUGAAGAAAUAAUAGGGUCCACCAAAGGCACCAACCAUUUCAUUUUCUAUAAGCUCGACUUCUGUCGCACUGAUUGUACGUAUGGGAUACUACGAAUUAACCUUUUCUUCAUUUUUGCAUGAUAGAAUCAUUCCGACUUCAUUGUCGGCUCAUGAUCUUUCCCGUUUCUUUUGGAGUAUAAUAUGCUGUGAAUGUACAACGUUAUCUCGAGAAUUGGGCAUGCAUAUCAAAAUGUUAUAUUUAUAAUCCCAAAGUCCCAAACUAGUACCCCAUGAUAUAUUUACUCCCACACUAAUUUUUAUAUCAUAAAUAAAACCAAAUGGAUACCCCAACCCAAAUCCAUCCUCUAUCUUCAUUUCGUCCGAUAUUUCACUAAAAUGCGUACGUGUUGACACGUGUGAAUUUUUCAUGUCUAAUAUGUCAUUCUCGACGUUAGAUCCUUCUUGCGUACAUGGUAGAUUAUGGGUCAUGGGUAUUAGUUUUGUUUUUUGUGAGAGAAAAAUGAGUGAGAUAUUGGAUGGAAUGUUGAGAAUGGUAGAUAUGGGUCAUGGGUAUUAGUUUUGCUUUUUGUGAGAGAAAAAUUAGUUUGGAGAUAAAUAUAUCAUGGGAUACCAAUUUGGGACAUUUAAUUUUAUUAACCCUAAUUCCUAAUAACAGUGAAACUAUUUUGGAUUAGAUUGGGUAUGGUUAAUCUUCAUGAAGUAGUUCCGAGAGCCAGGUCCAACAACUCCCAAUUUUGAUCAUCGUAAAAAGGGUUAAUAUGAUAAAAAAAUCUCAAUAUGGUAGCUCGUCCAAAUUUACCCAAAUGAAUUCUUGUGUCACAAAAAUUUCAAAUGAUUACUCUCAUACCACACUUACAUCAAAUUAAAUUUUGCGUCAUAAAAAAUUUCAAAUCAAUACACACAUGUCACAUUUAUUCUAAAUUAAUUGUAUGCCAUCAAAAAUCUCAGAUCACCGGAAUUACAGAUAUUAGAGAUUUCCCAAUCGAAGACUUUGGUAAUUUGGGAAUUUUUUUUUUGUGACAUGAAAUUUAGUGUAAGGUAAAUAUGGCAUGGACAUACUAAUAUAGGAUUUUUAUAAAAAAAAAAAAAAAAAAAUUAGUUGGUGGCAAAUGUGGCAUGGAUGUAUCAAUUAGAAGGCUUGAUGAUGCAAAAAUUAAUUUCGGAUAAAUGUGACAUAAGUGCACCGGAUCGAAAUUUUGAUGAUAUGAAAAUUACUUUGGAAUAAAUGUGGCAUGAGCAUAUCAUUUUGAGAUUUUUUAUGGUAUCAACCAUUGAGAAAAUGUUACUUUAUCAACAUUUCAAGCCGGCAUGGCCUGAACCAUUCUAGCAAAAGAACUUUGCCACAAUCAUUAUUGCGUCCUAAGAACUUUGAACCUACAACAAGGUCUAUUGAGUUUUCAAUAAUCUUUGUCAUAAAGUCAAUAUUUUAUUUUUAAAAUUUUCUUUUUGCAGGAGAAAAUUUGCUUUCAAAUAGGUGAAUAAUAUCAUGGAGGUGCAGGACCAAUAUAUGGAUAGAGCAUAAGAGUAUCGAAUCCACGAAAACAUAUUUAUUAAACACUUAGAUUUUGAUUGGGAGAAGAUAGCUCCUAAAUCUAGAACUAGAUUAAGAGAGUUAAAACUCUCAAAUCUAUAACUAGACUAGAACUGCUCCCAAUUUUGAUCAUUGGGAAAAUGAUAUCUCGACAUUUUCAGUCUGCAUGACCGAACCGUCCUAGCGACUGGAAUUUACUGUAAUCAUUAUUAAGUCUUAGGAACUUGAACCUAUAGCAAGGUAUAUUGAUUAUUUUUGUCACAAAGUAUCAAUAGGGUAAAUCAAAUCUCGGUUUAGUCGCGCCUCAUCCAUAUCACUUUUCCUGUAUGAUUUGAAGUUAAUGCUUAUAACUUGACAAUCUUACAUAGAAUUUUCGGAUUUGUUGUUGGCGAUGGCCACAUGCUUUUGUCCCAUUAUCUCGAAUGAAGACGAAAAGAGAAAAGAAGAGAUAAGUGCAAAGGGGUUGUGUAACUUUUUCUAUCGACAUCAGCUCAUGCAAUUGCUGAUUUUAUAGUCAAGUAUUAUGAGCAACCCACCCGACACGAAAUAAUCAGAGCAUCGAUCGGAUUAUUUGGUGCUCAUUACCUUUGGUCGGGACCCAACUGAGAUUAUCUGAUGCAAGCUAGUUGUGGAAAAAUUAUCAAAAAAAUAUGAAAUUCAUUAUGUGAAUGUCAAUUCAGUUUCAAAUUUUCAAGAUCGUUAAAUUAGUCAUAUACCUUUUGAUGAUUUGUCAAUAUAGUCAUUCCGACCAUUUUUGGCUAAAAAUUGCUUAAGUAGACGUUGGCCGUCCUACAUGACAUGACCUAUAUGGCACGACCUACGCUGAUGUGGCAAUGUCGCGAGUGUGAUGGGCUCCUACAACCAGGUUAAUGGUAAGCCCACUUGUGCAGACCCAGACCUUCUCGCCAGGAUUAUCCGAGGAAAAUGGAAAUUGAAGGGGUAACUUUCCAUUUCUCGUGCAUUGAUAGUCGAUACUUUUGAUCGAUUAUUGUGAGAGUUGUUUAUGCGAAAGGAUUGGUUAAUGCAGAUACAUAGUUUCAGAUUGCGAUUCAGUGAAAGUGUUCUAUAAUACCAAGCACUAUACUAAAACAUCAGAAGAGGCUGCAGCUAAGGCCAUUUUGGCAGGUAGAUGCAAAUUUCAUACUGUACUUUGAUCGAUUGAGAUGAAGGCGUUUGAGAAUUUGCCGUGAAAUGCUUCUUCUUUGAUGACUGUAAUUCCCUUUUUCGACAGGGUUGGAUCUCAACUGUGGAUCUUUCCUUGGCCAACACACUGAAGCCACCGUGAAAGGCGGAUUGUUGAAUGAAUCUGCAAUUGACAAGGCCCUCUCUAAUAAUUUUGCCACGCUGAUGAGGCUUGGCUUCUUUGACGGCGAUCCGAGGAAGCAGUUGUAUGGAAAGCUCGGCCCGGAUGACGUGUGCACACCGAGCAACCAGGAGCUGGCCCGCGAAGCUGCAAGGCAAGGGAU